GGAAAAAGAAAAAUUGCAGACAAAAUCUCAAUGAAUUUUAAGCCAAUUUGGCUAACAAAGACAUGCAACCAGCGCCUAAAAGAAGAGAAACAUUUGCUCCAAACUGAAGCCUUUUAUUGGUUUGCAUCUUUGGAUUCAUAAAAUCUGCAGCAAGAAGAUCCACCAAGGACAUGUAUAUUAGGAUUCCGGCUGCUGCUGCAUUGAAUAUUCCUUCAACAAUAAGAGCAGUGGGGCUAUUUUCGUCAUAAACACUUGAUAUUCCAAUGCCUAUUUUUACACUAAUUUGAUCAUUUUGUAAUAUAAAAAUUUGACAAUUGAAAAACAAAUCAACUUUUUUUUUCUUAAAAGAAACGAAUCUGUCAAAGGCAGCCAUCCAUGUUGUUCAAAGAAGAGGAAUUUUGCAGCAAGUUGGAAAGGAAAAGGAGCACACGGGUUUGACAUUUGAAAGAAGAAAAAAGAACGUAAAAAUAAUAUAGAAUUGCUGCAUAGUGCCAAAGCUUUCUCUAUAAAUAGAAACGAAGAGAAUGAGCAAAGGCAUUCCAUUCAGAGAGCAAUUUAGGGAGUUGAGAGAGAGUUCAAGAGCUUGCAUUUAUAAGCUCUUGUUACAAUGAUUGAGAGAGUUUGGGUGUAUUGGGAUUUUGGGUAGUGAGCUAAAAUACUACAAUACUUGUAACUCCUUUUCACUAGUAAAAUAUUUCCUUCUGUCUUCGCCCGUUGACAUAGGCUAAAAGCCGAACCACGUAAUUUCUUGUGUCCUCUAUUGUGCUUGUUCUUUAUUUUUCUUACAAUUUAAUCUUAGCUGCGUGUCUGCUUCACCCACCAAUUUUCUAACAGUGGUAUCAGAGCUAUUGGUUGUAUUUUUUGGAGUCAGAAACUGUUCACGUAAGGGGUAUUAUUCACGUAUACGGCACUAUACACGUAUACGAUACUAUUCACAUAUAUGGUACUGUUCACGUACAUGAUUUUGUUCGCAUAUACGGUACUGUUCACGUAUACGGUACUAUUCACGUGAAACGGUGGAAGCGAUCCAAGAAUUUUGCGGUGCAAAGCAGGGAAUAGUGGUGUGAGUAAAGCAACUGUGUGGUUUUGUACAUGUCUAGGAAAGUUCUGUCACAAAGGCGAUAAGAGCUUAAGGAGUCUGGGUUUUAAGUGGGACCAUUGUGACCCCUCCAGUCUUUCCUGGGAACUUUCCUGGUGUGCAUUCUCACACAUACUCACAACUAUUCAAGGUAGUACACUAGCUUGUGUGCGGUAUUUAUCAACAAAAUGGCGGCAAAGUAUGAAAUUGAGAAGUUUAACGGAAAUAAUUUUUCGUUGUAGAAAAUGAAGAUGAAAGCUGUAUUGAGGAAAAAUAAUUGUUUGGCAGCAAUUGGAGAAAGGCCCAUAGAGAUAACUGAUGACAAGUGGAACGAGGUAGACGGCAACGCCAUUUCUGAUCUACACUUGGCACUUGCGGAUGGAGUAUUAUCCAGUGUGGCAGAGAAAAAUACGGCGAAGGAAAUAUGGGAUACUCUCACAAAAUUGUACGAGGCCAAGUCACUACACAACAAAAUCUUCUUGAAGAGGAAACUCUAUACUCUUCGAAUGGCGGAAUCUACAAUAGUGACUGACCACAUCAACACCUUGAAGACUCUAUUUUCACAACUCAUAACGUUGGGUCAUAAUAUAGAGGAAAAUGAAUGUGCAGAGCUUCUACUUCAAAGUCUACCAGAUUCGUAUGAUCAACUCAUCAUCAACCUGACGAACAAUAAUCCAGCGGACAGUCUAGUUUUCGACGAUGUUGCAGCCUCCGUAUUAAAUGAGGAAAGCAUGCGGAAAAAUAAGGAAAACAGACAAGCAAGUUCGCAACAAGCGGAGGCGCUAUCGGUGACGAGAGGGAGAUCAACAGAACGUGGCCCCAGUGGGAGUCAAAAUCAUGGUAGAUCAAAAUCCAGAAGUAAGAAGAAUGUUAAAUGCUACAACUGUGGCAAGAAAGGGCACGUCAAGAAAGAGUGUUGGAGUAACCAGAAGAGAAGAUAGGGCAAAGAACUUGAGUCAUCAAAUGCUCAGGGGUGUGUAGCAAGUACCUCGGAUGAUGGCGAAAUUCUAUACAGUGAGGCAACAACUGUUUCAGAAGGCAGAAAACGACUUUCUGAUGUCUGGCUUAUAGACUCAGGAGCUACCUGGCACAUGACCUCUAGGAGAGAAUGGUUCCACACAUAUGAACCUAUCUUAGGAGAUCUGUAUAUAUGGGUAACGAUCAUGCCUUGGAGAUCGCUGGUAUUGGUAUUAUCAAAAUAAAAAUGUUUGAUCGUACAAUUCGCACAAUUGGUGAGGUACGACAUGUCAACGGCCUGAAGAAAAAUCUAUUGUCUUUGGGACAAAUAGACAAUCAUGGGUGCCAAACUCAUAUGGCGAAUGGAAUUAUGAAGAUCGUUAAAGGCGCGCUUGUAUUGAUGAAGGCAGAAAAGAUCGGUGCUAACCUAUUCAUGCUUAAAGGAGAAACACUACAGGAGGCUGAUGCGUGUGUCGCAUCAAAUGGAGAAGAGUCAACAAUGAUGUGGCAUCUCAAACUUGGCCACAUGUCAGAACAAGGUUUGAAGAUUCUCUCUGAGCGAAAAUUACUUCCGGGGCUCAAAUUGGUAAGUUUACCAUUUUGCGAGCAUUGUGUUACUAGUAAGCAGCAUAGAUUAAAAUUUAGUAGAUCUAUUGCUAGAAGUUUAUGCAUUCUAGACUUAAUUCAUUCUGAUGUUUGGGAAUCACCGGAUAUAUCCAUGGGAGGUGCAAAGUACAUGGUGACUUUCAUUGAUGAUUAUUCCAGAAGAUGUUGGGUGUAUCCAAUUAAGAAAAAGUCAGAUGUAUUUCCAGUGUUUAAAGAAUACAAAGCGCGGGUGGAACUUGAAUUUAGUAAAAAGAUCAAGUGCUUAAGGACGGAUAAUGGUGGAGAGUAUACAGACGGCGAGUUUCUUGCUUUCUGUAAGCAAGAAGGUAUUCAGAGGCAGUUCACGGUGGCAUACACUCCUCAACAAAACAGAGUGGCAGAGCGGAUGAACAGAACUCUUACAGAAAGAAUAAGAGCUAUGUUGAGGACUGCUGGUCUACCCAAUUCAUUCUGGGCAGAAGCAGCCAAAACUGCUUGUUAUAUAGUAAAUCGAUCGCCAUCUACAGCUAUUGGGCUAAAGACAGCAAUGGAGAUGUGGACUGGAAAGCCAACUGAUUAUUCCUACCUACAUGCAUUUGGAUGUCCUGUGUACGUGAUGUACAAUGCCCAAGAAAGAACAAAGUUAGAUGCAAAAUCUAGAAGAUGUAUCUUCUUGGGGUAUGCUGAUGGAGUAAAAGGGUAUCGUCUGUGGGACCCCACUGCCCACAAGAUCGUCAUCAGCAGAGAUGUUAUCUUUGUAGAAAAUCAACUGCAAAGGAGAGAUGAGGAUGAUGACACUACAAAAGAAAAGUCAGAGAUCGUGCUAGUAUAUGUGGAAAAUAAUCUAGAAGAUUCAGAUUCUUCUGAAGCAGCACUAGAGCAUGAGGAACAAGAACCAGUCGAGUCCGAGGCUCAAGAAGUUCGUCGGUCAACUCGUGAGAGACGACCACCAACAUGGCACUCGGAGUAUAUCACAGAGAUCAACGUUGCAUACUGUCUUCUAACAGAGGAUGAAGAGCCUUCAACUUUCCAUGAAGCUUUAGAAAGCUUAGAUAUUGCUUUGUGGAUGACAGCAAUGCAGGAAGAAAUUGAAGCUCUACACAAGAACAAGACAUGGGAACUUGUACCACUACCACGUGGAAGAAAAGCCAUUGGAAACAAAUGGGUCUAUAAGAUCAAGCGUGAUGACAAUGACCAAGUGGAGCGGUAUCGUGCAAGAUUGGUGGUGAAAGGAUAUGCUUAGAAAGAAGGUAUUGACUUCAACGAGAUAUUUUCGCCCGUGGUUCGACUCACAACAGUUAGAAUAGUCUUGGCAAUGUGUGCUACAUUUGACCUACAUCUAGAGCAGUUAGAUGUGAAAACUGCAUUUCUUCAUGGAGAACUUGAAGAAGAAAUAUAUAUGCUCCAACUAGAAGGUUUUGCAGAAACAGGAAAUGAGAACUUGGUUUGCAGGUUGAACAAAUCUCUUUACGGUCUUAAACAGGCGCCGAGGUGUUGGUAUAAGAGAUUUGAUUCAUUCAUCAUGAGCCUUGGAUACAACAGACUCAGUUCAGACCAUUGUACAUAUUACAAGAGGUUUGAAGAUAAUGAUUUCAUUAUUUUGCUAUUGUAUGUGGAUGACAUGUUGGUAGCAGGUCCCAACAAAGAUCGAAUCUAAGAAUUGAAGGCACAGUUGGCUAGGGAGUUUGAAAUGAAGGACUUGGGACCAGCAAACAAGAUUCUAGGGAUGCAAAUUCACCGAGACAGAAAUAACAGGAAGAUUUGGCUUUCGCAGAAGAAUUACUUGAAGAAAAUCUUGCGACGCUUCAACAUGCAAGAUUGUAAGCCAAUUUCUACCCCACUUCCUGUUAAUUUCAAAUUAUCCUCAAGUAUGUGUCCUAGUAAUGAAGUAGAGAGGAAGGAGAUGUCUCGAGUACCGUAUGCAUCAACAGUGGGAAGUUUAAUGUUCGCUAUGAUAUGUACAAGACCGGACAUUGCACAAGCAGUGGGAGCAGUCAGUCGAUAUAUGGCGAAUCCUGGUGGAGAGCAUUGGAUAGCUGUGAAGAGGGUUCUGAGAUACAUCAGAGGAACCUCAGAUGUUGCAUUAUGUUAUGGAGGAUCAGAGUUUACUGUCAGAGGCUAUGUAGAUUCAGAUUUUGCAGGAGACCUUGAUAAAAGGAAAUCCACUACUGGUUAUGUGUUUACACUUACGGGGGCAGCUGUAAGCUGGGUUUCGAAACUGCAGACCGUUGUGGCUUUAUCUACAACAGAAGCAGAGUACAUGGCAGCUACACAAGCUUGCAAGGAAGCUAUUUGGAUACAAAGGUUAUUGGAGGAGCUCGGGCACGGACAAGAGAAAAUUUCUGUAUUUUGUGAUAGUCAGAGUGCCUUGCACAUUGCAAGGAAUCCAGCCUUUCAUUCGAGGACAAAGCACAUAGGAGUCCAGUAUCACUUCGUUCGUGAAGUAGUGGAAGAUGGAAGUGUGGAUUUGCAGAAAAUCCAUACCAAAGAGAAUCUAGCAGAUGUUUUGACCAAGCCGAUUAAUACUGAUAAGUUUGUCUAGAGUAGAUCCUCUUGUGGCCUAGCAGAAACGUAGGCAACAUGUUUAUGGCGAAGCAGAAAGGAUGGUGUGGAGAUUGAUUGCUUCUCAAUCUAAUCUCCAAGUGGGAGAAAUGUCAAAGGCAGCCAUCUAGAUGGUUUAAAGCAGCCAUCUAGAUGGUCAGCAUCCAUGUUGUUCAAAGAAGAGGAAUUUUGCAGCAAGUUGGAAAGGAAAAGGAGCACACGGGUUUGACAUUUGAAAGAAGAAAAAAGAACGUAAAAAUAAUAUAGAAUUGCUGCAUAGUGCCAAAGCUUUCUCUAUAAAUAGAAACAAAGAGAAUGAGCAAAGGCAUUCCAUUCAGAGAGCAAUUUAGGGAGUUGAGAGAGAGUUCAAGAGCUUGCAUUUAUAAGCUCUUGUUACAGUGAUUGAGAGAGUUUGGGUGUAUUGGGGUUUUGGGUAGUGAGCUAAAAUACUACAAUACUUGUAACUCCUUUUCACUAGUAAAAUAUUUCCUUCUGUCUUCGCCCGUGGACAUAGGCUAAAAGCCGAACCACGUAAUUUCUUGUGUCCUCUAUUGUGCUUGUUCUUUAUUUUUCUUACAAUUUAAUCUUAGCUGCGUGUCUGCUUCACCCACCAAUUUCCUAAUAGAAUCAACUUUUAAAUUCAUUUUGAAGUUAAAAAAAAAAAAGUUGACAGUAAAAUACUAUUAACGUAAGGGGAUUUCAGUAAAUUUUAGAACAUGAGAGAUAAAUGACUAAUUUUACUAGACAAAGGGGGUUAAUUUUCUCCUAAAAAAAAUUAGGUAUUGGUUGAUGACUUUUAAAAAACAAACUACUCUUUAUUAUUAUUUUUUUUAAUUUUCUUUUUGUUCGACCAAAACUCGCAUGGUAUUGGGAUAUACCUAAAUUUGAUGUAAAAUUAGGGAUUAGUUAAAUGAAAUAAUUUAAACACUGCAUUAAAUCUGCCUUUGUCGAUGCUAUCUCACUGUCUUAAGGCCUAACUUCUUGAAAUUUUUUCUGAAAGAUACAACAGGAUCACUUAUCCACAAGCCUAGUCAGCAACUUAGACACUAUUUUCAGCAUUAGCAUUGACAUAAGAACAAAACGUACAAUUGAGCUUAUUAAAAAACAUUGCAGUUGAUUGGAUUGUUAAUAAGUAUGGCACCAUAUGGAUGAUAAAAUUAAGCAGGAAGAAAGAAAAAAUAAAUUUUAUUAUGCAAAAAAUAAACUACAAACUAGGCACAAUAAAUAAAUAAAAAUAAAUUUUAUUAUGCAACCCAGAAUUCUCCUUUGCUGUCUGCCUCAAUGUUGUCCUGAAAUUUUUGGAGCUGAGCAAAAGGUUGUGGAGGGCACAUAGCUCUAUGGUCAUGGAGCCAAAACCUCAGAACUCGCAUUGGGGUGGAUUCAGCCACUAAGAGGAACGUCUUGUCCUCGAUUAGGGCAACUCCAUUUGGAAAUGCCAAACCUCUGUACAUGAUUGUCACCUCAUUGCUGUGUGGAUCAUACUUCAAGUAACUUCCCGCUUCUGUCUCCGUUAUCGAUUACAGAAGAAUAUUGCCUACAAGAAUAGUAAUUCGGUGUAAGCAUUGUAAAAUAUUAAUCUGGAAUUGAUGAACAAGAAUUAAGAAAAGAAAAUAUCCUUCUUUGAAAAUACAUGCUACUGUCAGUAAAAUAAACGACUCCAGUACUAGGAUCGAUAUCCAAGGCAUAUACAUGCUACUGUCAAUAAAAAAAGAAAGAAAAAUAUAAAUAAAUUAUCAAAUAAAAAAAUAUAAAUAAAUGGCACGUAAUGUUUAUUUUUCAUUUAUAAUAAAGUUUAAUAUACAAAAUGACUGGUGAGGUACCACCAUACCAGGCGGUGCAUGGAAAGAUGGGGAAUUUGGGACUUCCAGUGCGGCGAGAGACUGAGCAUGAGGGUGCUGCAGCGGCUGGGCAUCACGUAUGAGGUAGCUACUUAAUGACCUGAUCAGUUGAGUUUUGGGGAAUUUGGAUUUUGGAUCAAUUAGUUAGGGAGUUGAGUGAGUUUUGUAACUUUAAGAAAAUAGAAUUUGACUGUAAUUACUAGUUAUAUCUUUUACGAUAAGUUUUAAUAAGAGUAAAUUUACAAUUAACUAUUAUUAUUAAAAAAAAAAACUAUUAGCCUCCUCUUACCUCCGCCCUUGGUACCUGCUAAAACCAAAUACCCAAAUUAUGAAAACGAAGAGCGAGACGAUAUGUUACUGGAUUGUUAUCAAAAUUUGAAGCUAGAACUUAGCAAUUGCCCAAAGAUAAAGAUUUGCUAAGAUUUUAGACCCACAGACUUUUUAGUACCAAUUUAUCUUCUUUCCUUUAAGAAUGAUGGUGAUUUGUAGAGCCAUGCCCUGUAUUCAAAAUAAACAAAUUUGAAGAAUAUAUCUGUUGAUUCCGGUAGGGCAGGAGUCUCAUGCACAAGUUUCUCAUCUAUUUUCUUACCAGAACAAAUUUCUAGUCAAAAUGAGGGUGUGAAAGGAAGAUAAAUAGACGAAAUUUGGCCCACCACUUCAUUCUUCCUAAAUGAAUAGCUUUUUACCCUAUUAAACGAGGAAAAAUGGAUUAGAUUCUCCCUUAAUUUGAUCUGAUUAGUGAUUACUAAAUAAAGACCACACACUUUAUUGUAGUGUGUUUCGUCAUUUAAUACAUUGCAGUUUGUAUGUGGCCCUAGUUUUAGAUCACUUAAUUGGAAAGGGACUUCCCUUUUUUUUUUUUGAUACAUUGGAGUCUAGUAAAACUAGGCUAAAACAGAACGGGAAAUAGAGGUUCCAUAUAUAUCAUUACAUAACUAAUAACCAAGACCCUCGGGGGGGUUUUCAAAGACAUGAAGUCUAAGGGGUAAGGAACCAGCAAGUUUCGCCAUGGAAUCUGCAGCAAAAUUGGCUUCCCGAUAUAUAUACUUUAUAGUAAUGAGCCAUUGUCUAUUUAUCAGUUCCUUUAUGGCAGUUAUAAAAGAAAAAAUGUGCAUUAGGCAUCAAGCUAGUAGAGGAAAUAAGUUGGGAAACACAUUGACUAUCCACCUCUGCAAUUAAAUAACGAAUGCCACGAUCCCAAGCAAUAUUAAGUCCUUGAAAAAGACCCCAAAGUUCUGCAGUAGUCACCGAUCCAAAUCCAAUGUUCAUGCCAAAGCCAAACUGCCACUUUCCAGAGCAAUCCCUCACCAAGCCCCCAGCGCUGGCUGGACCAUUCUUUAAUCGUGAUCCAUCAGUAUUUAAUUUGAAAAAAGAUUCAGGGGGAGCUUGCCAUCUAACAUCUUUGAUGAUCUUAUUACUCUGACCGAAACUAAGAGUUGAUCGUGCAUUUUGAAUGUCCUAAGCCCAAGAUUUAAUUUCAGCAACAACAUGAGUGCAGCAAGGGGAUUUUUGUGAGAAAAGAAAUUGAUUACGCCAAAACCAAAUUUUCCAGAUAGCCACUCUAAAUUAAUUACGCCAAAACAACAUGAGUGCAGCAAGGGGAUUUUUGUGAGAAAAGAAAUUGAUUACGCCAAAACCAAAUUUUCCAGAUAGCCGCUCCAAAUAAACAUGCCCAUUCAUCCCCCACUUCAUUGAUACCAGUCUUUCCCAAGUUGAAACAGAGCCAAUCACGAAUAUUAAAGGAGAAAAAAUGAUGUCUGAAGUUGACCGGAAUUAAACAAUUCCAUAUUCUCUUUGCAACAAAACAGUCCCUAAGUGCAUGCAUCGCGUUUUCUCUCUCAUGGCCACAUCUUUCACAAUUCAUUUUAUCCAGAAUAUGCCUCUUAAAAAGCUCCUCUCUAGUUUUAAUUUUUCCAUGCAUCACCGACCAUAAAAAUUUUUUAACUCGUUGGGGCCCGGAAAGGGACUUCCUUAAUUAUUUUUCAAAAGCACAUCCUAUAAAACUCCAACAGAUGGAGUCCAAGUUCUAGAAUAGAUGAAUAAAUGAUGUCAAUUAAAUGGCAAUAGCCCACCAAAGAAGACAGAGAAACAAGUUAGGAGCGAUUGUAGAGUAUACCAAAAGUAUUACAUCUAAUUAAUAUAUAUAUAUAUAUAUAUAUAUAUAUAUAUAUAUAUAUGUUAUGUGUGUAUUUAUUUUAAAAAAUUAUUAUGUAAUUAAUAAUUAUAUUUAAUUGAACUAUACAUAUCAUAUAUGUAUUAGUUAUAUGUAGCACCUAUAUUAUACUUUAGAAUUUCUCACAAGAUAAUAUGUCAAUAUACCACAAACACAAAGUUUGAAUCCUGCGAAAUAUGUUUAAAAUUGACUCUUGUAGAAAUUAUUAUGUGGUGGUGAAAUGAUUAUGAUAAAUAAUAUAUUAACACAUGUCAAUAUAUAAUUAUGCUACAUCAAUGAGGGUACCAUUGGUUUCACAUUUUUAUUUUACGUCUUAACUUUUGUAUUGACAAUAUUAGUUUUGUAUUAUAUAUAUAUAUAUAUAUAACUACUAAGUUAUUUUUUGCAAUCAAUAAAUAUCUAAUAACUCAAUACUUUUAUAUUUAUGUUCAUAAAGUUUUUACUUUUUAAAUAAAUAUUAAAAUAUCUUUAAAAUAAUAAAUUAUAUUUUUUUAACACUAAUUAAAACAAAUUAUUUUCACAUUUAAUCUUGUUUUAGUUUAUAACAUGGACCAUUCGCUCACCACUUGGCAUAACUUUGUAACCUAGGUCUUGUUUGGAAUCGAAGUAUUAUACCUUUUAAGUUACAACUGCCGUAAAAAUUUUGUAAUUAUAAAACAAAAAAUUAAUAGCUGUGAACUUAAUGAUUGCUUACUAAACUUUAGGUAUUUAUUUAUUUAAUUAAUUGUCUAAAAUUUACUUGUUAAUGUUAUUGACAAUACUUAUGUAUUGAUUAAAAAGAUGAAGUAAGGUAUUGAUCUUAUUGAUCAACAGAAAUAUUUUAUACUAGAUUGACAUAUUUGUGUAUUUAUUUUAACGUUAAAACUUUAAUUUCUCAUUUAUAUUGAUAAAAUUUAGAAAUGGGUAUUAUAUGUAGAGUUUUAAGCUCCUAUUAUAAAUUUAUAGUUUGACUUAUAUAAUUUAAUUUAUUUUUUGUGUUUUUAAAAGUAUUGUUUUAAUAUUUGUGAAGUAAAAACCCAUUGCAGGUUACGCGAGGAUUUAGUAAUUGUUAAAACCUACUGCAGGCGAAUUUUUUUUUAAAUAAAAAACCCAUAGCGAGUUAAGAAUUUACUGAUUUAAUUACUUUUUACAAGUGCAUGUUUGAUAAUGAUAAAAUCACUGCACUGAAAGAAAUUCUAUGAAAGAAUAUAAUUCUUGUUCUGUAUUUUUAAUGAAAUUUACAGAAUUAUUUAUACAAAUAAAGACAAAGUAGCCGUUGAAAGGCUUAAUAAUAUUAAAGGAGAAUAGGUGAAUACUUGCUAAACUAUUGGACAAUAUCUUUAUAAAAUAGGAAUGAAAUAUUCCUACAUGAUAUCGACAUUCAUGUGCAAAAAUCGUGCUGGAGAUAUUUCUUGACAAAUAACUUUGACGGGAGCAAGUCGUGUGGAGUGAUAAACCCGUUCUUGACUUGACCGUUAAUAACUUUCCUUUUGGUAAUCUUGGUCUGCUUGCUUAACAAGUGGUACCCAUAACCCAUCCAUACAGCUAGGCUAGCUAAACAACAUAAAUAAAUGUAUAACGAUUCUUAUAUAAAAAGCCACCACCCCAAGCCAAAAGAAAAAAAAAAUUGUGCUGAAUACAACAAUAUAAUUUCUUCAGUUUUUACUUGGAAACAAGAGAGAUGAAUACGAAGAAGCAGAAGCCAAAAGCUAUUGUAGUUGGAGGAAGCAUUGCUGGGGAAUCAUGCGCAAAAGCACUUAUUUCAGCAGACUGGGCUGUUGUUGUGAUUGAGAAAACUCGUGGACCCCCAACCCAAAACCCAACCGGUGCUGGCCUUGGACUCGAUCCAUUGGCUCAGAAAAUUGUUCAGUCAUGGCUCCAUGAACCUGAACUUCUUUACAACAACACUUUACCUGUCACCAUUACUGAGGUAUAUAAUAUAAUAUAUUUAAUUUCUUUUUUCCCAGUAGAAUCCAGUGAGGGGUUAUGGGAUGAGCCGCAUCUCCAAUUAAGACCACAUUGUCCCAGUAUAAUUGUGUCAAAGGGUCACAAUCAUAUAUAAGGUUAAGGAAAGGCUCCUUUGUUUCUUUUAUUACUCUUCAAACUCAGGAACCCAAAUCUUCUCUGCUUCUUGGUGCAUCUUCUUGAUCAUGUCACUGCUCACUUUCAUUGUAGCUGAAUCUCCCUGAAAUUAUUUAAUCAAUUUAUUAAAGCUAGCUCUGCUAACACGUAUGUAUAUAAAUGAUAAAAUGAAGCAAGUUAGGCAAUCACCUUGAGUUGAAGCUCAGGUUGAGAGAUAAACCAAAUCCAAUUGAGCCUCUUGUACAUAAGCUCAUCAAGGACGGUGUAAGUUCCCGAGGCCAAGUCCAUGUGCACGCCAUUCCCAAGCGUAGGAUAUGCCUUCCGGAUGCCUUGUAUGGUUUCUGAAUUCUCAUUUUCCGAAAAAUCAAAAACCCCCCUCCAAGCACAGUAACCCGUAUACCUGAAAAACAGAAAUGAAAAAUAAACCGUAAAUUUCAAGACAACAGAAAAUAUGAAAAUCUAAUAUAAUUUGUUCAGAAACCUGAGUUUAGAGUCUGGUAAAAAAGUCUGGCGAACUGAUGAGCGGCUCCCGUCAGCCGCAACCAGCAAAUCUCCAGCUAUGUCGAUGACCUCAUCAGUUUUAAGAUUCUUAGCUUUGACAGUGACAGUUGAUUUGUCGUGAGAAAUGCAGAAAGUGAGGUACAAGUGACCCCAAAAAAAUAUUUCCGGAGGCAGAGUAUUGUAUAUAAGACUAUGAAGAUCAGUCCAAUGUGCCUGUAAAUAGUUGAAAUUUUCGUCUCUAGCUAGUACCCGACAGAUGUUCUUUUCCCUAUCUACUGCCCGAUUCUGCACAAAAAGAAAAAUAAAAAAAGUCAACGCAAGAGCUCAAAUUAAAGUAGUUCUGUGUUAUAUAUACAUUACCUGAUCAAUGGUGAGAGGUAAGGUGAUGUUGUGAAGAAGAUCAGGUUGAUGGAGCCAUGACUUAACUAUUUUCUGGGACAAUGGAUGAAGUGCGAUUCCAGCGCCGGUUGGGUUUCCGGUUGGAGGUCCACGUGUCUUCUCGAUCACCACCACAUCCCAACCUGCUAAAAUAAGCGCUUUUGCGCAUGAUAUCCCUGCUAUGCUUCCUCCAACUAUUAUAGCUUUUGGCUUCCGCAUCCUCUCACUCAUGUCUCUCUCUUCCUCUCAAACACCAGUAUGUGUGACACAAAGGGACGCUCGCGCAAAGAUAUAUUUAUAUACCGGGGAAAACUUCCCAUUCUAAAUUCAUAAAUCAGGAUGAGCCGGCAAUCAUAUGAACAUUUUUUUAAAAUAAUUAUUUAAAAUUUUUUUUUAUACUAUUGUUAAUUUGACUCGGAUUUUAAUAAAAUUUAACAUCUCGAACCAAGUCACUACUCUAGAAAUUUUUUUUCAAUCAGAACUUAUAUGUUCCAAUUCAAGAACAAGGUUUAAUAAUGUAAUGACCGUGAAAACUAUUAGACCAUAUGGUUUAACAAUGUAAUGAUAUUAUAUUAUAAAAUCAUUUAAUAACUUUUUGAAUUUUAAUAAUAUUCAGGAUUCUAAACUAGAUCAAUACUAUACACACACAUAUACACAGGCGGUGCCAUGAAUUAUUUUUAACAGGCUCUAAGUUUAAAUAGUAAUUUAAUUUAAAAAAAUAAUUAACAAAUAACAUAUAUCAAAAUAAAAAAUUAUUAAAAUAUUUAAUUUAAUACACUUAUAACUGUUCUUAACUUGGUUUUAUAUGUUAAAACAUUAAAGAAUAAUCUCAUUAUCAAGACUACAAAAUAUGUCUUUUUCUAUGUAUAUAACAAAUCUAUCAUUCAACUAUUGUUCUCCCAUUUGAUUUCACAGAUGAUUUUUUAUAAAAUUUAUCGUUGAAAAUGACCUUUCUACUGUAUCUCUAGGAACUGGUAAAAUCAAUACUAAUGUCACCAAUAAAUAAACUAAUGAAUAUAAUUUACCGUUCUUAGUCUCACCGCAUUGUUAUUUUAUUAUUUAUUUGAAAACUGAUAAUAAAUUAUGAUUAAAUAUGUUCGCAGCAAUUACAAAGUCUUGAUACAAUGUUUCUAUCUCACAUGAUGACGUAACAUCAAUAUCGAUGAUCGCUAAUUAGGGAUUCCAUUAUCCUAUUUUCCCUCUCACAUGAUGAAUAAAUAAACAGUUUUAAAUAAAAUUCAAACUCUACAAACUCAAUAACAUGAUUACGUCUUAUUCUUUCUUAAUUGAAGUUGAUUUUUCAAGGAGGCAAUUUGUCCCGUCAUAUGCAGCCAAGUUAGAACCAAAAAAUGCUUAAUUCAAAUCUCACGGUCUUGAAGAAAUCUUUCUAGUGAAAAUAAAUUCUCAAGUCAGAUUUUUCAAUCUGGCGAUAUGAAAUUUGCCUAAUAAAUCUCUACAUUCAGACAUCACGUUUAUGAAACCCUUGCAUUCAGAAUAAAUUCUUGCAGUGUAUCAAAAAAAAAAAAAAUUCUUGCGGGUAAGGGGGAUCAAAUUCAAGAAUAAAGUUUGAUAAAAAUGAAUAAAAGGAAUAAUUUUGGUAAAAUUAAGUACCAAAAAUAAGAUUUAGCAUAUGUUUGUUGUGGUUUAUUUAAUAACUAAAAGUUUUUACAAGUUUUUUUCAAAAUAUUUACUGUUGUUUGGUAGUAUUUUGGAUAGAGAGCUUUUGAGAAUUAAAUAAAUUAUUUUGCAUCUACCAAUAAAAGUGUAAAUUAAAUAAGUUAUUUUGGGUUUUUGGGAACAAAAGUUGUAGAGCAUUUUUCAAGUGUUAAAUUAUCUAACAUACCUUUUAUUUAUUUUUCAUUUUUAUUCCAUUCUUUCCAUAAUAUGAUUUUAAAUAAAUUGAUCAAUUAAAGUAAUUUUAUAAUUUAAAUUUUUUAAUAAAAGUUCAUAUUGACAACCAAAUAAUUAAAAUAUUUUGGUAAAUCUCCACUUGUAACAACUUAAUUUUAUUAAAAGCUAGAGCAUAGAGUCAGUGACGACGCAGAAAUAUAAAAAGUUGAUUGAUAGAAGAAAUUAGGUUUCUAAAUAAUAAAAGUUUUGUUAGAAAAGUUUAAAUGAACAAAACUAGUGUUUUGAGCUCCUGUUAUAAUAAUCAUAAAUAUCACGAAUUUAUCAUAAUAAAAAAAUUUAAAAUAUCAUUUUAUAAUAAAAGGAAAAUUAUCAUUCGUAUACCCUAUAUUUGCUCUGUUAUAAAAAUUACUACAAUACUUUGAGGGUGUAUCAAUCGUCCACCCUAAGUUGACGAAAUGUAUCAACCGACCACCAAACCAUUAAUUUCCGUUUGAAAGUUAACGGAAUUACAGUGAAUUGACGAUUUUACCCUUGAAAAUUAUCACUUGUAUACCCUUAAAUUAUUUUUUUAUCACUUGUAUACCCUUAAAUUAUCACUUGUAUCAUAUGAAAAGACCAGAUUACCCUUCUGACGUUAUCAUAUUUAAACGGCAACUAACGAUUUGGUGGUCGGCUGAUACAUUUUGUCAACUUAAAGUGGACGAUUGAUACACCCUCAAAGUAUUGUAGUAUUUUUGAUAAUGGAGUAAACUAAGGGUAUACAAAUGAUAAUUUCCCAUAAUAAAAUCUCAUAAUCUAAAUAAAGAAACCAAAAUAAACAGCACCCAAAGCCAAUAUCUAAAAAAAAAAAGAUAAAAUCAUAAAAUUAAUAGGAAAAAUAGAAAAAUAACCUAAUGCUGAAAAAUGAUAAGGAAAGAAGUAAAACUUUUAAAUCGACCACGGGGCAGAACUAUGCAAGCUAUUAUGUUUGGUUUGUCUCGUUGCAGGCUUCGAAACAGUAUAUUAGAUACCUAAAACGGAUCCCUGUAACCUUAGUUAUGACCUCUAGAAAAUAAUCUGCUCAUCUUACGCAACAAUCCUACAUUAGCCAGCCUAGUUUGGGAUUGUGAUGACUGUUGAAAAUGUGAUUUAAAAAAAAAGUGUUAAAAUGAUGGGCAACUAAGCCACCAUCUUUGAAUUCAAAGACGGUGGGUGGCUAAGCCAGCCACCAUCAUUGAACAAGGAAAAUGGGUGGGUGCCGCCCAUGGAAAGAAGAAAAAGAGGAAGAAAAGGAAGCCAAAAUUUGGCUAUAAAUAGAGGGGUUCUCCCCGUCAUUUAGGUAUCCAAGUUUUGGCAAGAAAUUGAGAAAGAGAAAUAUUUUUAAGCACAUAGUUAUAUUGAAGGAGUAUUUGACUCCUCAAUAUGGGUAUUACGGGUUUGCUUUGUUAGGGAAUAUUUAUAAGAAUCAUGUAUUUGGGGCUUGGGUGAGAGAAAAUUAUUUAUGAGAAAGUGGUUGUAAAAAUUUUCACAUAGUGAAUUUUUUUCUCUGAUUGUCUUUUGACAACGGCCGUGGUUUUCCUCCGUAUUUGGAGUUUUCCACGUAAAUCUUGUGUUAUGUGAUUGAUGUAUUCUCCAUUUAAUUUUUCUGUUAAUUUGUUGCUUGACAAAUUGCUUGAAGUGAUCUUGGAGGACGCUCAAUUUCCUAACAAUGACUUGUGAAAUAAACCGCUUCUAUAAAGCGAAUGAAUAAUCUACUUAUUAAAAUAGUAGCUUGGUGUUUAGUAAAGUGUAUUGUUAUAGUGGCUUUGAGUUUGAAAAAAAAUUACAUGUGUUUGAUAGAUUUUAUUGCGAAUGUGAUGUUUUGUUAUAUAAUGACCGAAAUAAUCAUAAUUUAAUUUUUUUUUAUUUAUAGAUUAGGAUGCAUGAAAAAUAACAUGUAAUUGUUUCUUUGUUAAAACACUAAGGUUAUAAUAGGAACUGAAAAAAGGUGUGGUGUCUUAUUUGAUACCUAUUUAUAAAUAGCAACUGUACAUACUUUGAAAAGUUAUUGUAAAAAAAAAAGAAACUUAUGAAAUAAGUGGCUUUUAAAAAAUUUAUCUAACACUAUUUAUUACUAUAAGAGAGCUCUAUAUAUAUUAAAUUCUUUUAGGUAAAUUAAAUUUUGCCCCUUUGAUUUUGAGGUCUGGCUACAUCACCGAUUGAAGCUUGUGAUUUUUUUAUUUACUAGUGCAUGAAAUCUUUAAUUUUGUUAAUAUAUUAGUGGCAUCAAUGAAUUAUUCUCUCUUUCUCUCUAUAUAUAUAUGAGAAAGGUGAUCAGGUCUGCGACUAUAUAUCAAACUCCUAGAUUUUUUUAAUCUUAAUCUUCAAUGAAUUAUUACUAUAAGAGAACUGAUCACGUGCGUGGCUAUAUAUCAAACUCCGAAAUUUUUGGUAUUGUACGCAGUUAUGAUCUUAAUCUUUGGCUAAGGGUAUGAUUGGGAUUGCAUUAGCUUGGUAAAUAAUCCAUCCUCAUAUAAAUUCUCCAAUAAUUAACUUUGCAAAUAAUUUGAUUAGAUGUUUGGUAAAAUUGGAUUAUAAGGAAAUCAAUUAUUAAAUAAUUUACUUAACAUGUUUGUCGUAUUAAUCAAAAAAUUGUGUUGUGUGCAAAUUACCAAGAUGGACAAGUUUUCUUAUAUAGUAAUAUAUAAUGAUAAUUAUUACGAUUUAUUUAUAUUAAUAUAUCAAAUAUUAGUGGUGGUGACGCUAUUUGUUUGCCGUUUCAUGGCUGUAAUUAUUUUAGAGGUGUGCGUGAGCAACCGCCAUUUCUCUGUUGUUGACAUCAUACGUUUUGGAGUUUGAUAGCAGAGGUAUUGUCGCAUAAUGAAGACUUUAGCUAGAUGCAGACGACGGCGCCGAAGACAUUGCCGGACGCCAGCAAUAAUCUAGUUGUUUCCUUUUUUUUUUGUCUUAUUUAAAUGUAAACAUAAAUAUGUUAUUAGUGUAAGGGUGCAUUCGAAAUUGUAUUGUUAAAAUGAGGAAAAUUUUGGUAUUAUGCUUUACAAAAUCAAAUUCUAUAAAAACCCGAAUUUCCAAAUCUACUUUCUCAUGUUUUUAAUGAUUAGUACAAAGAUAAAUUAUUUAAAAAUUCUCUUUCUUAAUUGAAAUUAACUUUUCAAGGAGGCAAUAUGGACUUUGCGUCGUAGGUAAGUUAAAGGCCCUUAAUCCCACGAUGUUCAUGAUGAAACCUUUCUAUUCAAAAUAAAUUCUUCAGUUCGAUUUUUCAAGCUGGCGAGAUGGAAUAUUUGCUAAUACAUAAGUUUGGGAAACUCUGGAUUCAAAUCAUUCGGCUCAAUUUUUAAGAUCCAAUUAAGUGUUUUUUAUUAUAACAUAUGUGUGAUUAACAUUUAUUUUUGUAAUUUAAAGCCAACUAAACGAUGCGCUGUUAUUUCUGCAAAUUUGGGAGUGUCCCAGCCUUCACCUUCCUUGAGAAGCCUUCUUCUUCUUCAAACCUUACCUAUCGUAGGAUGCUUCCAGAGAUAUUUACUCCUCAAAUUGCAAUUGAAUUGAUUAUGGUGUUCAUCAUUCUCAAUGGACACAUAAUGGUUUUUUAACGGUUUCGUCGUGUAUUGAAUUUUACAAAGCUGGGAAUUGUAAUUAAAAUUGAACUUUAGAAAGUUGCAAAAGUGUAAUUGAAAUGUACAAGUCAAUUCUAACCACUCAUCUUUCUAAAUACCAUAUGUCGUUAGAUACUUAAUACACCUUGUGUGCUGGAAUGGAAUAGAUUUUUAGCAGAUACGAUUAGUUAAAUAAAAUUGGAUUGAAUCAUAUUUAGUAUUGUCUUUUGUUUGGCAUUUUAGAUUAUGGUAAUUUUAUAUAUUGUAUGAGAAUUGCGAUGUGAAUAUUUCCGCUGCAAAAUAUUUUAAAACCAAUAAUUGGUAUCAAGCGAUCUCAUAUUAAUAUAUAGAGUUACUGUAUGAAAUCAAACUCUUGUAUUAUGUGUAUAAAAUUGGUGGCACUAAUUUUUAUAUAUUAUUUCAUUACGUGAAUGUAUAUAAUUAUUGACCAUAUUAAAUGUUGUCUCAAUUCAUGGUUAGUUAUUUUUUUUAUAUUAAUUUUAUGGAUUUGUAACAAGAGAGGUGGUCAAUUUUCACCAUGUUUCUCUCUUGAUUAUUUUAAUUCAUUGUUCUUAGAUUCUUUGUAAGCCAUCUAUGGUAUAGGAGUUCUUGUAAAUAUUAAUUUUUAUUAUAUAAUAAUGUAAAGAACCCAAAAAAACAAAGAAAAGUUGAUGGCGGCAAGGAGAAGAAGAAACGACAGCCUCUCUAGAAUUGGCAGCGAACAGCAUGAAGGGACGGAGGGUUUCUUUUGAAUUUUUUCAUUAGACACUCUAUUGUCUCACUAAUUUAUGUUUUCUGGCAAGGCUUGAAAUUAUAUUUCAUUUAAGUCCAACACUAUACGUUGGUGGCGGCUGGAAGAAAAAUAAGUGAUUUAGGGUUUUGGGUUUAUACCCCAUGGCACCCUACAAUUUCACUAUUUUACAGUUCAGCCUAAGUAUUUUGGGUUUUGGGCAGAACAAAAAAAAAUUUAUUUAUAUUGGAUCCAAGCCCAUUAUUGACUAUGAAUUGGAAAAUAUAAAUAUAAAUUUGAUAAGCCCAAUUGUUAUUAUUUGUCCAGAUUUAUUUAUAUUGGUCCCAAGCCCAUUUAAGGGAUUUCAAAAUUGAGUUAUAUAAAUAAAAAUUUAGUAGAUCAAUAAUAAAAUUUAUUUGGCUCAAAAAUUUUUAAAGAUAAAUUUGGGUUUAUUUUAUUAAACUAAUUGGGUCUGGAUUUUUUUUUAAAAACAGGUAUUUAAAAAAAAUAAGAGCCAAUAGAAAUUUUUUUUUUGAAAGGUGCCCAAAUUUAAAUUUAAAAAUUGAACCAGAGAUAAAUUUUAAAAGCCUAAAAGCCCUCAAGGCAAUAGUUAUGUACAAGAGCAAGUACAAGAAAGAGAAAAAAGGAAGAUUGAUGUUGAGUUAAAGCCCAAUAGAUAUUAGGCUUGUAGAUUAAGUCAAUUUUUUCCUUAGGAAAACCAUGAAUUGAGAUUGUUUAAUUGCUUUUAAUUUAUAUGCUAUGUUUGGUUGAUAACAUGCUAUGAUAACAUGUCAUAUAGAAUAGGAAGUGUCACUCUAUGCAUAAUAAUACAUGACAUCUAUAGAUUAUGAAUCUAAAAAUAUAUUGUUUGACAUUUGCAUGUGCUUAAUAAUAUUAGAUUUCAUCUAGAUAAUAUUAUUGUAGGAAGCAUGCAAUUAAAAUACAGGAUAUAAUUUGUAUAUUGGAAAAACUAACUUUAAAAUAUUGAGUAGGAGAGGGAAAAUUCAAGAUAAUUUUUCCCACGAGCUCCAUUAUUAGUUCAAUAAUAAAAUUAUAUAUAUAUCUCGACUUCAUGAUACGGUGAUGCUCUCUACAAAGGGUAUAUAUAUUAGACAUUUUAUUUGAUGAACUUCUUUACAGAUAAGUUCGAAAUAUUUUUCAAUCUGUUGAUCACCCAAACUGUGGCGGCAUGGUAUGGAAGAUACGUAGAUUGAAACAAUGGUUAUACACUCCACUAAAAUUUGUUAUUAACCUUCCAAAUGAAGCUCUGUUAACAAAUUUAGGCCCAAAAGGAUAACGAUAAUUAUUUAUCAUGUCUCUACAUGAAAGUAAAUAAUCCAAUGGAUAAUUGGGUCUAGUAAGUGUAGACAUGACUUCCCCAAUGGAGAGCUUGCCAAAGCAGUACUAGAUUAUUAUUACAAUAAAAUAAAAUGCAUUUAUGGUUUUUUUUGCAUUUUAGAUUAUUAUUGUGAACAUUAUUUGUUUCAAAGUAUUUAUGCAUGUCUAUUUUGUUUUUUCAGAAAAUGUCUUCCAUCAACUCAUUAUUCAUUAUCCUUGUUAAAAAUGAACUCACUGGCGAAAUGUACUUAGAUUGAAAAUACAAUCUAUUUAAUAUUCUCACUGCUAAGGGCUGCAAAUAUGUGUUGACUCAGUCAUUCCCUCUAGAACCAACGUUAUACGAUUAUACACUACUAGAAAAAUGGGCUUUACUGACACUUCGUUACUGACACUUUGCAAAAAGUGUCAGUACUUAUGUACAUAUGCACCAUUUUCCGCUUUUGACAAAUAGGAAUCAGAGAUUAAUGAUACUAGGGUGUCAGUAAACUAAACAUCAAAAAUCACUAACACUAAAGUAUCAAUGAUAAAAAAAAUUCAUAAAAAUUUUGUUUUAGCUCCAACUCGAACCUGGGAGCUCUAAGAUUUAAAGCUUUAAUGUUUGGAGCACAGACCAUCAAAUCUCGAUGAGUCAAAGUCAUAAUAAUAUUUAAAUUAUUAAAAAAUGAAAAUAUAAAUAACAAUAACAUAAAACACACUUGUUCUCCCCAUCUAGACUAUAUCGACUGUCUCUAUCUUGCUUUCAUCAUUCACUUUCGCUUUCGUUUUUCUCUUCUCGAUCUCUUCUGUUUUGCACUAUCCAUUUACAAAUUAAAUUCAAUUAAUUUAGAUAGAUAAUGAAAACCUAAAACUCUGAUUCGUUUUUCCAUUUUCCCCAAAUUGAAACACAAACCAAAAACCUAAUCGCUUGUUAUCGAAGGGGUUUUUCUCCAACUUAACCAUCCAGUGCCUAUACUAGGCAAGCAAGUAAAAGCCAUCGACAAGGGGUGAAGUGGCACCAUCGGUUCGGUAUUCAGGUAAUCUCAUUCUCCCUGACAAGUUAAGUCCAAAGAAAGAACUGUAGAGGAGGUUAUCAGCUGGUAAUGGCAGAAUGUUUUAUUUUUUUGUGCAAUUUAAUUAUUGGGUUUGUUUUAAUUUGGCUUAUGAAUAAUAUUUUUGAAUUUUUAUUUUUGGGUUGUUUCAGAUAUUCAGAAAUUGAACAGUCGUGCAACCCUGGUGGGUUUUGUUUUCCAAAUGUUUUUAUUUAUUUAUUUAUUCGUAACUUGAAAUUUUUGUUCUUAUUUUUCUAUAUCUUCACUCACAUGCAGUCCAAAAAUACAGGCAUUUUAAGUGGUGCAUUACUUAAACUCAAAACACUUGCUGCUGCGACUCUGUUUUUUCUGCCACAUUUGAGGUCAGUUUCAAACUUUUGUUCAUGUGAUUUACUGUCAUUGUUAUUUAAAACUAAGAAUGUGCAUUUUUUUUAGUUUCUGAAAUAAACUGUUAGCUCAGUUUCUUAACUUUGAGCAAUAAGUUAGUUGAUUUUAAAUGUACUAAAAUAUGAAAUUUGAUUUUAGCUUUUGCCUUUGUGAUUAGGAGAUGAUUGUUUGGGUGUUAUAUUGGCUGAAUGACUGUGUAUUUAGUGGUUACAAACUAUUUACAUCUCUGUUUCAUGUAAAGAGAGGCAAAUUUUGUUAUAUAAUCCUACUUGUUUAUUUAUUCUGUUUUGGUUGGACGAUUUGUAAUAGAGACAAUGACUAUGAUAUGAAUUAAUUAAGUUCGUGGUUGUGAGUAUUUUGAGAUUGUAUAAAGUUGAUGAUUUGUGUUUGAUUCAAUAAAGAAAUGCUUGUUUUAAAGUAGUUCUGCAUGUUGUAUUUGAAGUUAAAAAAUGAUUUAUAGAAUCUUAAAAAAUGGCUUGCAAAGUGGUAUGAAGACAUUAUUUAUUUGAACUCUUAACUUUUGUUAGUUACUUGACUUAUGAAUUAGUUCGACUACUUAAAAAGCCAUUAGCACCCAUCUUACCUAUUAAUCUCCUAUUUAAGUUUCAAAACUUAUUUUGUUUCAAUUUCAGGAUUUUGUCUAAAUUAUUAUUAUAAUUAAUGAUUUAUAGGGCUAUUAAUGAUUUUCCAGAAUUAUAAGUUUAUUAUUACAACUAUAAUCAUAAUAACAUUGAACUUUAAAUUAAUCAUGCAAUUUAAUUAAACUUAAACUAACAUUACAUAUGUGAACAGGUAAAAUAUUUGAAAUGGACAGAAGUUGGAUAACUUGUGAUAGAUUGUCUGUAGAGUAUCGUUCUGGAGUUGCUGAUUUCUUAGAUUUUGCCAUUUUGAAUGCUGAAAAUCGAAUGUCAAUUAGAUGUCCUUGCACCUUUUGUUGUAAUAUGGAGUUUCAUACUCCUCAACAAGUGAAGGAUCAUUUAUUUGAAAAAGGUUUUCUCCCAAGAUAUAUUGUUUGGACUUGGCAUGGUGAGACUAACUCUAAAUCUACAUUUACAAACUGUGAAGACCAUUCACAUAGUCAAAGAUUUAGAUGUCAUGAUUACAGUAAUAUAAUUGACAUGGUCGAAGAUGCUUACGAGCAUUGUGAUAGAGAUCCUAGUUCUUUUAAGGAUAUGCUUGAAGAUGCUGAAAAGCCUUUGUACCCGGGUGCAAAACAUUCAAAGUUAUCUAGUUUAAUGAGACUUUACAAUGUGAAAGGGAACUAUGGGUGGUCCGAUAAAGGGUUUUCUGCUUUGUUAGAAGUCCUUGCUGAUAUUUUGCCAAAUAAUAAUACUCUACCUAUGUCAAUGUACGAGGUUAAGAAAACAAUGAAAGUGCUAGGCUUAGAGUAUGAAAAAAUACAUGCAUGUCCAAAUGACUGCAUUUUGUAUAGGAAUGAAUUUGCUGAUCUUGCUGAAUGCCCAAAUUGUGGAGCAUCUAGGUAUAAAAAAAAAAAAAGAUAGCUCAACAAAAUUUAGGAAAGGGGUUCCUAAAAAGGUAUUAUGGUAUUUUCCACCUAUUCCUAGGUUGAAAAGAUUGUUUCAAUCACCACAAACAGCUCAAAAUUUAACAUGGCAUGCUAAUAAAAGAAUUAGAGAUGGCAAACUUCGCCACCCAGCAGACUCACCAGCUUGGCAACUAAUUGACAAUAAGUGGCCAAAAUUUGCACAAGAACCUAGAAAUCUCCGUUUAGCUCUCUCAACUGAUGGGGUUAACCCACAUAGUACACUUAGCACUACUUAUAGUUGUUGGCCUGUUAUAUUAAUAACAUAUAAUCUUCCUCCAUGAUUGUGUAUGAAGAGAAAGUUUUUGAUGUUGUCACUUUUGAUAUCUGGCCCUAAACAACCUGGAAAUGAUCUAGAUGUAUACCUAGCACCUUUGAUUGAGGACUUAAAAACUCUAUGGGAUGUAGGUAUUGAUGUUUAUGAUUCUUAUAGAAAAGAAACCUUUAAUUUACGGGCUGUCUUGAUGUGGACAAUUAGUGACUUUCCAGCAUACGGAAACCUCUCUGGUUGUACUGUUAAGGGCUAUUAUGCUUGCCCAAUUUGUGGGAUAGACACUUGUGCAUGUUGGCUGCCAUAUAGUAGGAAAAUGUCAUAUAUGGGCCAUCGCCGCUUUCUACCACUCGGUCACCUAUUUCGGAAACUGAAAAAGGUUUUUAAUGGGAAGCAAGAGUGGAAUGAGCCUCCUAAAACUUUGUCUGGUGAGGAAAUCUUUAAUAUGGUGGAAGAUAUAGAUAUUAAGUUCGGGAAAAAGAAGGCCAAAAAGCGGAAACAUGAUGGCGGUGGUGGUGGUGGUGGUGAUGAGAACAUAACUGAAAAAUUGUACAAAAAAAAGUCAAUCUUUUUUGAGUUAGAUUAUUGGAAGCAUUUAUUAGUUCGCCAUCAAUUAGAUGUGAUGCACAUUGAAAAAAAUGUGUGCGAAAACAUAUAUGGCACAUUACUUCAUCAACCAGGCAAAACAAAAGAUGGGAUUAAUGCUAGAAAAGAUCUUGAGUCUUUGAAGAUCAGGGGAAAACUAGUUCCUGAUGAAACAAACAAAAAAAACAAAGUCCUACCUCCAGCUCCUUAUACUUUGAGUAAAAAAGAAAAAAAACAGUUUGGUGAAACCUUGCUGAGUGUGAAAGUCCCUGAUGGGUAUUCUUCCAAUGUCCAAAACCUUGUUUCAAUAGACGAUUGUCGGCUUCAAGGCCUUAAGUCCCAUGACUGUCAUACUUUGAUGCAACAAUUUCUACCACUAGCCAUUCGAAACUGUUUGCCUAUAAAUGUGAGAACGGCCAUAAUCAGGAUGUGCUUCUUUUUUAAUACAUUGUGCUGUAAAGUGGUAGAUCUGAUGGGUGUCGAAGCCAACAAAAAUAAAUUCCUACUCUAAAUAAAUUGUGUAUAGUGAUUGAGCAGGGUCGUGUCCACAGAGAUCGGUAAUUAUUUAAAUCCUUUUGAAACGUAAAACAUAAAAUGGGGGAAUUGUUGACAAUAAUAAAAAUCAAAUUGAAAUAAACAAGAAUGCAAAUUAAAGUUGUAAUUCAAAUUGGAGAAAGCUCUGGUUGAAGGAAUUAACUCAGCUUGAUUCGACUACUGAUCAUUGAUUCAAAUAUAGAUUAUUAUUAUUACUUAUGAAUAGAUCGGUUAUAGCUACUGAGACCCUCUAAUAGCCAAUCUCUCCUUAACUAGUCGAUAACCAAGGUACGACCAUUGGUUAUUUCCCUAAUCAAUAGACAACCCUAGAUACGAUCAUAGGAUUUAAUCAAUUGACAGCCUGAGAAACCAGAGAGACCCAAAUCCUAAUCAACACAUAUGAUGAUUCAUUUAAAUUAGAUUGUUUAUUCUCACAACACAACUCUCUGCUAUGUUAUUUGUCACAAACAUUAAAUUCUUCAUACGAUGAAUCCUUUAAUUGACAAUAGAUUAAGUUGAUAAUUAAAUAGUGGCCAAUUACCUAAUUAACAAACAUAAUCAUGAAAAUAAUUCAGAGAAUAAACAAAUACCCAAAAAGUAAUAAAACAAUUAAAGCACAAGAAAGAUCUCACAGUAGUGAUGAAUCAAAGCUUCAUUAACCUUCAACCAGAAAAAUUGGUUUAGUUCCUCAUAGAGAGAAGAGAAAAAUUAGAUCUAGGGUUUCUUUUUCUCCAAUCCAAAAAUCCCCCCUUUUUCACAAUAAAUUCCUCCCUUAAAUACACUCUCUCUCUUCUCUUUUAGAAUUCUAUUUAAAAUAAAAUACUAAUAUCUGAAAUAUUAAAUUCGUAAUUACAAAAAUAACCAAAAAUACAAAACACGUUAAACUAAAAACUGCAGGUCCGCAGUUGACAGCACGCGCCCACGCCUUAUCAACAAAGUUCUUCUGACGCUCAGAAAUUUCUCCAAGAGAACAAUCCUCCUUAAACAUCAUCUUUUAGCUCAAUUUUAUCAUCAAUCAAUAGAAUUGCACCUACAAAAGUAAAACACAAGUAAAACAUUAUUAUUAAAUGCAAAACAUCGAUAUUAAGGGAAGUAAAUAAUGCAAAACUAGUGCAUAAAUUGCACUCUAACAAGAUCCUAAUACUCUUGACCAAUUGCAAGAGGAACUUGUAAUCACUUUAUGCUUACUGCAGCAGUACUUCCCACCUAGCUUUUUUGACAUAAUGAUCCAUUUAACAGUCCACUUAGUUGAACAAGUUAGGUUAUGUGGGCCUGUUUAUCUUCGAUGGAUGUAUCCUUUUGAGAGACAAAUGAAAACUCUCAAGGAUUAUGUUCGUAAUCGCUACCGCCCUGAGGGUUGUAUUGUAGAAAGUUAUAUUGCAGAAGAAGCACUUGCAUUUUGUGCUGAGUACCUCUCAAAUUGUGAUGUUAUUGGGCUGCCUACUGGUUGUCCAACUGAUUUAUCUAUCGAAAAGCCUUUGGGAGGUGCAAACAUAAAGGUGGUUGAUGAUCCUUUGUUGGCACAAGCACACCGGUGUGUUCUAAUGAACACCCCUGAAAUCCAAAUAUAUAUCGAGUAAGUUGUUAAUUUUUCAAAAAAAUAUUACUAUUGUAUUAUUAGAUUAAUAUACUAGUUUUUAAAUCUUAAUAUGUUUCACUGUAGGGAGCAUAUGCAUUAUUUGGCAUCAAGAAACCCUUAUAAGGCAAAAACAAAUUUGUGGUUGCAAAAUGAACACAUACGAACAUUUUCUGGUUGGUUACAAGCAAAGGUUAGAAUUACUUAACUAAAUACAAUAUAGGAUAUAAACUUAACAAGAUUUUUCUACAUGUUACUAAUUACUGUACUUGUUAAAUUAAUUUAUAGGUGGCACAUGAUAAAGCAAAUAAUGUGCCGAUUGACGAAAUAGUGUGCUUGUUAGCAAACAAACCACGCUCAAGCGUGGUGACCUUCUCUGGCUACGAGAUAAAUGGCUUCAAUUUUACAACGAGGGACCGAGACUGUAAUCGUGUGACCCAAAAUAGUGGUGUUAGGGUUGUUGCUAACACUCUACAGAUUUCAAGCUCAAAAGAUAAAAGUCCUCAUUUUGGAGACAUGACGUUUUAUGGAGUCAUUGAUGAGAUUUGGAAGCUUGAUUAUCUAAUGGUUAAAAAGACACUUUUCAAGUGUGAUUGGGUAGAUGAUAGAGGGGUUUGCACUGACAAUUUAGGUUUCACUGUAGUUGAUUUAAAUCGGAUUGGCUAUAAAUCUGAUUGCUUUAUUCUGGCUUGUCAUGCAAAGCAAGUAUUUUAUGUAAAGGACCAGCUAGAGAAUAAUAAAUCAAUAGUUUGUUCAGUGACCGACAAAGCUUAUAAGUUAAAUGGGGAAAGAUGUGAAGACGUGGAUGUAUUUUCUCCAUUAUCUAACAAACUUCCAGUAUGUGAGUUGGAUGAGAAAGAUGAUGAAGGAAUUUAUGACAGAAAAGAUUGUGAUGCUAUUCCAAUAGAUAUUGAUUUAGAAAAUCAGUGAAUGCAUUAUUGUAGUUAGUUUCCAGCACCAAUUUUCAAAGUUUUCCAGUAAGUGAUUUAUUUAUUUCAUUAUAUGCUAUUGCUCUUGUAUUAACUUAUUAAUCUAAAUGAUAUACUUAUUUAUUUUAAUCAUUUUCAAGAUUGUAGGAGAUGGCUGACGAUGUUGAGUUCACUCUUCCGGAGCUCGACGGAAGACCAAGGAGAAGAAAACAAACAAAAAAAAAAAGGUUUGCAAAAACAAGAAGUUAGUCAUGAAGCUGCAAUUGAGUACAAUUCUUAUGGUGUUCCGGUUGGAAAGGGAAGAAAUGAUCUUAGGAGUUACAUUGGAGUCAUUGUACGUGAAACAAUUUCAAUUUUACUUGAUGAUUGGAGGCGUGUGCCACUAGAGAUGAAGGAAACUUUGUGGGUUCAUUUUCAGGUUUUGUUUUCUUGUUUCAUAGUAUGUUUAAAGAUUUUAUAUAACUUCUAGAUUUUUUUAAAGUUGUUGCUAAUCCAUGUUAUUGGUUGACAGAAAAAAUUCAAAUUGAGCUUGAAAUGCAAAAGCCAAGUAUUAAAGUGGAUGGGGGUUGCAUCAAGAAACUUUCGUUGUGAACUGGCAACUGAAUUCGUUCUACCUAACAAGGACGAUCGAAAGUCACUAAGGUUGCCUCCUAUUGAAUAUCCAAGCAUUAAAAAAGCAGAUUGGAAACUUUUUGUUGACAAAGUUUUGUCUGAACAAUUUCAGGUGUGUUGUUUGUUAAUAUUACCUGAUUUAAUUGUUGGUAGUUACUAAUAAUCAGUGGUAACUUUUUGUUCUUCAUAUAAACUGUUUGUGCAGGAAAAAAGUAAGAAGGCAAAAGACAAAAGAGCAAAGAAUGUCUACAACCAUCGCUUGGGUAGCACAGGAUAUGGUGGCAUGUUGUAUAGAAAAGUAAGUGUGGUAAUAUGGAGUAAUUACAGUAACAUAAGUAAUCUAAUGCGUAUAAUAUAAUAGAAUCAAUUAUUUAUGUUUUAUGUCACCUCGUAACAGAAAAAGGAGAGUGGAGUUUCUGAGCGGGAGAUUGAUCGCAGUGAAGCUUGGUUAAUGGCACGAGCAGACCGAGAUGGCAAAUAUGCUUCUGAUGUGACGCCAAUUGCUGAGAAAAUAGUAAGUCACUUGUAUACUUAAUUCUUAUGAAUUUUCUUUAUAAUAUGUGUGUGUGGGGGUAGAUAUUAACGUACAUAUAUACUGCUUUUUGUAAUAAUUGUAUGGCAACAUUUACAAUUGACAGAAACUCAGUAAGAUUUCAUCAGAACUUAUUUCUUCGCAUAUUAAAAAGUUAAAACUUGUUUGAGGUGUUGUCUUGUAAUAUUUUCUGUAGUUUCAAUUUGAAUUGUAUAUGGAUUUGCUCUUUGUUAAAGAUUCAAGAAGGAUAUUAGUUUAGUUUAGCUGAUGUCUUGUUCUUGUAAUUGCGGAUUUACAAUAUUUUUUUUUUGUAGAAUGAGCUGAAGAGUCAUGUUGAACAAGGAACAUUCCAAUCACAAGGGUCACAUGACAUUCUAGGUGAAGCUCUUCAGAAGCAGCCAAAUGGAAGUAGGGUGCAAGGAGUGGGGCAAUUCGUCACCCCAUCUAUGUACUUUCAUGUCCCUGAUGCCACUGAGUUAGCAAGAGAAAGAAAGAUGUAUCAAGAGAGUUUCCAAUUCAUGUCUGCUCAAUUAGAACGCAUGAAUGCAAGGUUAAAUGCGUACAACAAUACUGAAGUUGGAAGUUCUAACUUUCCUAAGCCCAAAACUUCCACUGGUGUUCAGAUUGACAAUGAUCAACAAUCCCCUGAAACUCUUGGAAAAAGAAAGGUAUAUGGCCUGUUACAUGUCAUUAUUUUAUUUCCAUUUGUAUAUGCAUGUAUUACUACUAAUGGUAUGUAUUUUGAUUAUUGCAAAGGCUGAUUUCCCAUCGGGUAAGUCGACUCCAAAAUCUGUGAAGAGUAAAAUCAAGGACAGUCCCACCACAAUUUCCCAAGCAACUCCUCAACAAACCCCCGAAAAAGUAGACUGUGAAAUUACUUCAAAGCCCACACCGAGAAGAUCUCCUCGACUAACUCCUAAAGUACUAGAUAGGCAGUUCUCCUGUCAUGACAAAGUACCCAACAAAGAACCACCAGUCAUCAGACUAGCAGAAGUAGCCAAAAAAGAACCCAGAGUCAUCAUACCAGCAGAAGUAGCCAAAAAAGAACCCAGAGUCAUCAGACCAGCAGAAAUAGCCAAAAAAGAACCCCGAGUCAUCAGACCAGCAGCAAAAGACCUCAAUGUACGUGUGAAGAAUACACAGGCAGCAGCACGAUCAAGAAAGAAUGACAGGAGUGAAUAUAUGAACAUGUUUACCAUGUUCAUCGAGAAUUCUUUACCUCGGUUGAUCAGGAUUCGGCAUGACACAGCAACCUUUGGUGAAAUUUGGGAAACACACUUGGACAAAAUGAUUUGUGCUGAAAUCAUCGAGUUUAAAGAGGUCUCAAACUGCAUCAUUAACAUAUGGAUCAAGUACGGUAAAUCAUAACUUAUGUUUUAGUAAACUUGGCCCUAUUAUUUUGUUUCCUAUAUUCAAACUUACUUCGUUAUAUAUAUUUGUUUCCUCUUAGACACCUGUAUGAGGAGAUGAAGAGCAAUGGAAGUACUAAACCAGUUCAGUUUGGGCUUUUUGAGAAGCUAUAUCCAAGGGUCAGUUUCAAAGACAGGACUCAAUACAUUUCAAAACUGUUAGGCUUGGCAGAAUUGGGACAAGUCAUCGUAUUCCCGUAUAACCCUGGGUAUAACCUUUUUCAUUUGCUAGUAAUAUUCUUUAAUUUGUAGAUUAAUCACUUUUACUUGUAAUUCAUGUGUGAGAACAAUUUUUACUUUGUUUAGUGCCCACUGGGUGUUAUUGGCAAUUGAUAUGGUGAGACGUACAACCUAUUACCUUGAUCCUUUGGAAGGUAGUCCUGAUGAAGAGCUAAUGCAGAUUGUCAAUCAGUUAAGUUUGUUAUUUGUAUCUUUGAUCAUGCUAUUUUAUUUUUAUGUCUUAUGCUAAUUAUUUGCUAACGUUAGCUAUGUCUCUUAAUUGUAGGGGGAUUCGAAUACAUCAGAGUUUAAAUUCUGAUACAAAGGCCAAUGUUCAAUGGAUACCUGUCAAGGUAAAAAUCAGACAAACCUAACUAAUUAUUGUUAACGUACAGUAAAAAAUUAAUGUAAUUUUGAUCUUGUAGUGUCCGAGGCAGCCGAGCAGCUUUGAAUGUGGUUACUAUGUGAUGAAAUACAUGCAAGAUAUCAUCACAAAUGUGAACGUUCUGAAAAAUAAUGUAAGUAUUGAAAAUGAUUUUUACAAUACUGUAUCAUAUUGUUUUAAUUUAUUGUGAAAUGAAUCAGCUCACACACCUGUGUGCUUCUUUACAGUUAUCUUUUUAUUGCGUAUUGUAUGCAUUUUAUAAACUGUGAGGGUACUUAUAAUGGUGACUAUGUUGCAUACUGUUGAAUAGAUUAUAUGAAUAUCCAUAUAGACAUGAAUUAGGAUUUGGGAUAUACACAAUGUACUGCAUAUCCCAACACAAAACAAUUGUUUGGGUUGCAAAGUAGUUGUUAGUGGGGAUGUGCUAUGGUGUCGUUGCUUGUACUUUACUUUGAUGAGGAUAAGUUGUCAUCCUAAUUAAGGUUUUGUAUCUACAUCCAUAUUUGUAUUAAAUCGCGUACUGUUGGGGUUCACAAGUUGCUUCGGCUAUCAAAUAUUGUUGUUGUUGGGGUUCACAAGUUGUUUUUUUUUUUGGAAUUACCAUGAUCAGGAUGUUCAGUAUUUACCUAUAUAAUUUUGGAUAAAACAGUAACAUUGUUGGAGUUUAUUUGUUGGCUUUAAUUGUUAACACACAAAUGUAUUUAAAUGAAUGAUAAUUAAGUAGUUUAGUCAAGGAUUUUCGGUGAAUAACUUGUUGUUUUAAAAUUAAAGUUCAAGGGAGUUGAGGAAUACACUGUCAAGGACCUCUCGCGACUUCGUGAUCAGUGGACUACAUACGUUGCCAAGUUAAUUACAGCCUACAAUCGCGAGGUAACAUACAAGUAAUUUAUGAUUAUUUUUCCUUAAACAAAUCUGUGAUUUAUUUUUUGUGGUGUGCUAAUUGAUUUUAUAUACUUGUAGGUGGAAAAAAAAUGAAGGCAUAUGCGGACUCCAAAAUCAGUGACUCCAAAAUCAGUGACAUUGUUAUCUGUUUUUUCUUCUUGGCUAAAUUUUCUGAAAUUAAUUUAGUACUUUAUCGUGUAUACUACUUGUUCAAAGCUUCAUUUUGUACUUGAACAUGUUUUUUACCCCCAAACAAUGAUGUAUUUGAACUAUUUUAAUUUAACUGAUGUAUUUGAACUAUUUUAAUUUAAUUGAUGUAUUUGAAAUGUGUAUUAUGUGAAUUGCGUUACAAGAUUUGGUAUGUUUAAUAUAUUUUGGGUUUAUUUUAAUUGUAAAAUAAACAUGAAUAAUGUCAUUAAAAAAAAUAAAACACAACCGGUAUAGCACCGUUAAUACUGACACUAAUUAUUUAAAUGACGAUAAGAAUUUUUGAUGUUACUGAGUCAGUGGAUUCCUGAUACUGUAGUCACAUAAAUCAGUGACAUGUAAAUAGUAUCAUUAAAUGCUAACGCGAUUGAGUCACUAUCCUUGUGACUCUCUAGUGACACAAAAUACUGACAUAAAAAUAGUAUCAACUGAUACUAACAUCAUAGUAUCACUAUGGUGGUGAUACUAUAGUGACACAAAAUACUGACGCAAAAAUCACUGACACUAAAGAUUAGUGUCAGUGUGUUCUGGCUUGAGCAUUACUGACACAAUUAACAAGUUUCAGCAAAAGUAAUUACUGACACUAAAUUGGUGUCAGUAAAGCCCAUUUUUCUAGUAGUGAUAGAAAUCAGAGGGAGCCUUAUGAGAAAUUGUGCAAAGCUAACAAAAUGGCUAUGUGAUAUAUAUUGGCUUCGAUUUCUGUGGAAUUGAGUAACAAACAUCAGAGCAUGGAAACAACCACUGAAAUAAUGGCUAGUCUUCAUCAGAUGUUUGGGCAGAAUAUUCAUUUUGCCAGAGAAGCAGCAUUAAAACAUAUUAUGGAUACUAAGAUGGAAGAGGGCAUAAGAGUUCGUGAUCAUGUCCUCAAAAUGAUGGACUAUUUGAAUGAAAUAGAGAUUCAUGAUGUUCAAAUCGAUGCUAAAACAAAGAUUAACACAGUGAUUGAAUCUUUGCUUGAUACAUUCAAAGAGUUUAAGAUCAGUUAUAUCUUAAACAAUAAAGAUAUGACCUUAGUUAAUUAAUGCACGAACUACAUGCUAUAGAAGAAUUUUAUCAUAGUAGGAAACUUCCUGAAAAAGGAUUCUCUUGAAGGUUUAAGUCGAAAGACAAGAAUAAUCAAGAUAGAGUUGGGAUGAGAAAAUUGUCCACUAAAAGAGAUGGCAAGCCAAAAUGCAAGUGUUAUAAAUGUGGGCAGAAGGGUCACUGGAAGAAAGAUUGUCAUAAGAUUAUUAAAAUCAAGUAUAUGAAAUUUUUAAUCUUUCUAAUUAGUUCAUAUUUCUAUUGAUUCAUACAAUAGUGAAUUUUGAGAUAACAAAUCUUAUUUAUAAUUCAUUUAUUUGGUUUUCAGGAAACUAAGAGAUUAAGUGAACAAAGCUUCAAACAGCAACUGAGGACAUGCUAGUUUAUAUCAGUUGAAAAGAUAGAUCAAUUUUACGAGACUUUAGUUUUGAUAUUUGUCUUUAUUAUUCUAAAUAUUAGAGGAAUUUAAUUUCGGUAGCUUGUUUUAAUAAAUAGGAGUACACUGUUAUUUUUUUAUCCUCUGUUUAUUACUUAUUUUGGUUCUUUAUGAUGACAAUUUAUAUCAUAUAAGUUCAUUGAUCUAUUCAAAGUAAGAUAUAAUGAUAAAGAGUAUAUGCAUUUAUCUAAGAAAAGAAAUGUUUCUUCUAACCAAUAUCACCUAUGAUAUUUAUGCUUAAAUCAUAUAAACUAUAAUAAGAUUUUUAAAAAAUGAUUAAUGAUAGGCUUGUUGGCCUAUUAAGAUUAAUAAUUGUCACUCUAUAAAUCUUAUUUAGAAAAGUAAUAUGACAAGGAUGCUUUUUUUGAGCCAAAAGCAUAAUAUUAUAUUGGAUGACUUAGCGCAUACAAAUGUAUACGGAUUAAUCAGUUUACAUGUUAUAAGAGGUUAUGAGUAUUUUAUGAAUUUUAUUGAUGAAUAUUCAUUUCAUUUAUGUUUGUCUAAAUGCAUUAUGAUUCAAUCGCUUUAGAAAUUCAAAGAGUAUAAGGAUGAGACAGAAAGCAAUUAGAUAAGAACAUAAAGAAACUACGAUCUGAUCGAAGUGGUGUAUCUAGCUGAAAAUAGGAUUAUAUCUCAGUUGACUGUCCUGGGAACACCACAACAAAAUGGGGUAGCUAAAAGGAGAAAUAGAACUCUUUUGGAUAUGAUGAGAUAUAUGCUUAGUUAUUCGUCAUUACCAAUCUCUUUUUGGGGAUUAGCAUUGGAAACUGCAGUUUACCUCUUGAACUUAGUUCCAUCUAAGUCAGAGUCUAAAACCCCAAUAAAAUUAUGGUCAGGUCGCAAACCAAGUUUACGACAUGUUUGUAUUUGGAGAUCACCAGCACAUGUGCUGAAACCAAAGACAGAUAAAAUGGAUUCACGUUCUGAGGUUUAUAUGUUUGUGGGGUAUCCUAAAAGAAAAAUGGGAGGAUUAUUUUAUAGUUCUCAAGAUAGGAAAGUGAUCAUGAGCACAUAUUUCACUUUCCUCGAGGAAGACUAUAUGGAUAACUUCAAAUCUAAAAGUAAGGUAAUACUUGAAGAAUUGUCAGGUGAUCAAGUUGAUGCUUAGAUUUUAACACCUGUUAUAGAACAGGAAGAACAACAAUAACUAGCUGAUCAACACAGGAUUAUCCCUGAACAACCAUCAAUUUUAGAAUCUCGUCAUAGUAGGAGGGUAGCUAGGUUACCUGCUAGAUACAUGUUAUUAGGAGAAACAUAUAUGGCUAUCUCAGAUAAACAUGUACAAAAUCCCACUAGCUACAACGAAGCUCUAAUAGACAGAGAUGUUGAACUUUAAAAAAGAUCAUGGAUCAAGAAAUGAAAUCUAUGUGUUCCAAUAAAGUCUAGGAACUUGUAGAGGCACCAAAUGAGGUAAAACAUAUAGGGUGUAAGUGGAUAUACAAGAGAAAAAGAGGAGUAGACGGAAGGGUGAAAACAUUUAAAGCAAGAUUAGUAGUCAAAGGGUUUACUUAGAAAGAGGGAAUCGAUUAUGAGAAAACAUUUUCUCUGGUUGUUAUGCUCUCCAUUAUUGCAGUGCUAGAUUAUAAAAUUUGGUAAAUUGAUGUCAAGGCUGCUUUUCUUAACGAGCAUCUUGAAGAAGACAUCUACAUGUAGCAACCAGAUAGAUUCAUAUAAAAAGGCCAAUAACACAUGGUAUGUAAGUUGCAGAGAUCCAUUUAUGGAUUGAAGCAAGCAUCCCGGUCAUGGAACAUCAGAUUUGAUCAAGCGAUUAAAUCGUUUGGAUUCAUUCAGAAUAUUGAUGAACCAUAUGUGUACAAGAAAAUUCAGGGAAAAUCUGUAGCCUUCCUAGUUCUUCAUAUAGAUGAUAUUCUCCUUAUUGGAAGCGAUAUAAGAGUAUUGACUACAAUAAAGAGUUGGUUAACAAAAUAAUUUGAUAUGAAAAACCUGGGAGAGGCAAGUUAUAUUUUUGGUAUCAAAUUACUACGAGAUUAGAAGAAUAAAACUUUAACCUUGUAUCAUUUGCUUGUAUACUUAGUGGUUUCAAUACAAUAAAUAUUCAAAUUUGACAUAUUGAGAGGAAUACAAUAAAUAUUCCAAAUAUGUUUUUGACAAGUUAUUCCAAAUACAAUAAAUAUUCCAAAAGGAUCUGCCAAAAACAUAUUUGGAACCACAAGAAACAAAAACAUAUUGAGAGGAAGUAUCAUCUUAUAAGGGAUAUAGUGCAAAGAGGUGAUGUGGUAGCUACUCAGAUUGCGUCACAAGAAAACUUGGCAGAUCCUUUUACUAAGGCCAUACCUGGGAAACUUUUUAACUUGCACUUAUAAUCCAUUGGCAUGAGUGAGAUGCCAAAUAUGGUUUGAGAGCUAGUGGGAGAUUGUUGGGAAAAUAUGCUCCUUAAAAACAUAUGUGUUUAUUUAAUUGUAAUGAAUAAUUUUUUUGAUUAAUAUAAUAAAUGAGGUAUUUUAUUCAAGUAUCUUAGUUACAUUAAUAUUUGGAGUAAAGUCCAUUUAAUCAUAUUAUAUGUAUUUACGUGAUCACCAUAUGGAUUCACAGAAGACAUAAAUACAAGUUAUCUUAUGAUUAAAUAAAUUAAGUUUGCAGUUGAUAAAUAAAGUUAGGCACUUUAUUUAGGUAUAGACUGUAAUAAAUUCAUUUAAUGAUUCGUCUUAAUCAUGUAUGAAUUUAUUGAUGUAGUAAGACUAUAUUGAAUUGGAUCACAUAUGAGAUUUAAUUAACUUUGUAAUAACUGUCAGACUUAUUAAAUCUCAUAAGCAUUGAUUUUACUAUAAUCUUAAUCUUCAGUUAGUUAUAAUUUCAUGAUUAUAAUUAUUAUUCCAUUUGAGUUACCAAUUGACAUGACACACACUUGUAGUCAAGAUUACUCAGUAUCUUGAUAGGAGCAAUUAUAAAUAUUAAAGUUAUAGAUUAACAAUAUAGAAUUUGUACAACACAUCUCUUGAUGAGUUUUCGACACUUGAUCAUAAAAUUCUCUGGCCAGAUUGUGUCAACAUAUUUAGUAUGUUGAACAUGAUCAUUAGAGAAAAUCAGUAAGUAUCAAGGAAUAAAAUGUAAUUAAAUUAAUUAGACAGUUGAGAUGUCGAUUUAAUUAACAAGGUGGUACAAAUGAUUAUGCAGUAAAGAAAUCAAUGUGGCAUGGGUCGAAUUAUUAUUCGAGAACACUAUCCUAGAUAACAUACAAUUAUGGAGGUCAGUUCGAAUUUUUUAGUGGAGUAGAUUUGGAAUUAAGUAAUUGGGCUAGUUUAAUGACAGACCUAAUUAUUGUAGCCACUAUUGUAUGUACUCAUAUAAUCCCCGGAUUAGCUCAUUUAAUUGACUGAACCGCUACUGGAUUAAUAAGCAAGAUACAAACUAACUAUUUUGGUUAAAAGCCUAAAUAUAUUAUUUAGUUGGAGGCUCCAUUUAAUAUGCUUGUGUGUAAGGAGUCUUGUGUUAUUUUACAAGAUGGACCCCUAUAACAAGAGCAAGUAACGCCACUUUUAGUUUUAUUUUUUUAAUUUAAAUCAAAUUUGAUUUAAGAGAAUUAAAAAUAUAUAAAUAUGGAGCCUAGGGUUUCCACUAAAUAGAGAUAUAAAGGGACUUGUUUUCUCUAAAAGGGGAGAGGAGCCACCAUAUACAGAUCAGAGAAAAAGAGUUUUUCUGUCUAAUUUUGAGAAAAAUAUUUUCUCUUGCUAGUUGCUUUUAGUGGUGAUAAAGGCGCCCACACGUCAAGUGCAUAUCAAACUUGAGUCAUAACUUGGAAGAUCAUUGGUGACGGAUCGUGAUAUAAAAAGAUUAGUGGUGACAGUUCGUGAUCUAACGGGAGUGGUGGUAACGGAUCGUGAUCUGGGAGCGUAGAUUACUUUAGCAAAAAAGUAAAGGUACGAUUUCUAAAUUAUGGUAAUUUUAUAUAUUGUAUGAGAAUUGCGAUCGAAAUAUUUCCGCUGCAAAAUAUUUUUAAACCAACAAUUAGCAACUUAAUACACUUGGUACGCUGGAACGGAUUGUAAAUAUAAUAUUAUCAUAAAAUUUAUUUAAAUUUAAUUGUAUCAUUUUCAAGAGAAAGUAUCAUUUUUUUUUAUGCAACUAAGUUAUCUAGAGACAAACCUUCUCUUGUGUUCUCACAGCUUUGGGGAAGCUUCAAAGGACACAGCUUGGAUUGUCCAUUAUGCUAAUAUACCUGCCUAUAAAUAGGAGGGUUGACCUCAACUGUGAGUAAAAGAACUGCGAUACUCGUGUUCCUUCCUGUAAUAACGAAAGCGUCUUAAUUAAUUCAGUGUUUCUACUUCAGCAAAAUAAAAAUAAACUCUUGAUUGAAAUAAAACCAACUUUCAUAAUUUUCAAUUCUAAUUUUCUUAUAAAAAUGACGCCAUGAUUGGAUGGCAUUGUCCUUGUGUUGUGUCAUUGAUUUAUCCAUCUUUGUUUUUCCCAAAAACAAUUUCCAUGAAAGAGGAUGUUUUGCUGCUCAUUAGUAAACGCUAUUUAAGCACAAGAAAUGAUUGAGAUUUAUGCAAAGUACGUGGCAGAAUUUAUGUAAGAUGACUGAUGAUUCAUAAGGAAAGCUAAACAUGGGAGUUGGUAACUUUUAGCAUGGUGAUCAACAUGUGUUGUAGAAAAUUUUUAGAAUUUUACUAUAAGUGGUACACAUAAAAGUCAGUAAGUCUAACUUGUACUCAAAUAUUAGCUCAUAUCUUAAUAGUCGCCUUAAGCUUAUGUUAUUAAUCAAUUAACUAAUCUCAGCCCGUCUGAAAAAUCUUUUCUAUCACCUCCAGUACUUGUAGGUCAAUUUUUUGUUUGGUCUUUGUCAAUAAUUCAAGUGAUGGGUUUUUCUUUGCCAAUAACGCACGAUAGUUCCUUGUCAUGAGCUUCUAGGGGUGUUCGCGGAUCGGAUUUUACGGAUUGAACAUCAAUCCAUAUCCGAUCUAUAAUUUUAUGGAUUAUAAAUUUUCAAUCCAAUCCAAUCCAUGGAUUGAUAAAAUUCAAUCCAUAUCCAAUCCAUACGUUUGCGGAUCGGAUGCGGAUUUGACUCAAUCCAUAUGCAAUCCACCAUUUUGCGCAUUAGUUUUCGAAUUAAAAAUUUUUUAGUUCUCUCCAACUAAUGAAAUAAAAAAAAAUCUAAUAUAAAAAUAAUUUUGCUACAAAUUAAAUUUAAAAUUGAAUAAAAUUUAAAUAAAUUAAUUGUUUAAAUAAAGCUAAAAUAAUACAUUUAAAGUUUCAAAAUAUAGCACAUCGAGACUAAUUAUUCAAAUAAAGCUACAAUAAUACGUUCAAAGUUUCAAAAUAUAACAUACCAAGCUUAAUUGUUCAAAUAAAGUUACAAUAAUACGUUAAUAUAACACCGAAAUUAAUUGUUCAAAUAAAGCCACAAUUAAUUGAAAUGGCGAAGUUUCGGAAACCAAACACAGUUUGAUCCUUCACUAGGGCUGUUGCGCCUGUCGAAAAAUGGUGAUUACGGAGCCAUCCACGAUGGGAACCAGGAGAAGCCGUGCAGGUGGCGAUCUUAAAGGUUGUGAUAGUGAAAUUCUUCAGCUGGAACAAGUGAAUGUGAAGUGGCUCGAUGGACUUGGGAAAGAAGAUGGCUUGCUCUCGCCGGAAUCGCGCGGCCGAUGUCCUUUAAAUCCGUAUUGAGAGUGUAUCCAACCAGUAUUGAGUGUUGCUAGUGUGUGUGACGGCGGGAAAGCUUAGGGCUUUUUGUUUGCAAAUUGUUGGUGACUUGGCGUUAUGUUACUUUACUUUUGCUAGUGCGUGCCACUUUGCUUUUAUUUUGUUUUACAAUUUUUACAAGUUAUAUUUGUAUAUUUGAUUAUUUAAUUAUUUUUUAUUUUAUAUUAUUAUUGGGUAAUGGCUAAGAUAUGUUAUAGUGCUUAGUAACUAUGCAAUGCCACAUUUAUAAUUUUUUAAAUUAAAUUUAUAAUAAUUUUUUAAUUAUAUAUAUAUAUAUAUAUUUAUUUUUUUUUGCGAAUUCACGGAUUUCUACGGAUUUACAGAAGUAAAUCCAUAUCCAAUCCAUCGACUGCGGAUUUUUAAAUUUUCAAUCCAUAUCCAAUCCACCAAUCUACGGAUCGGACGGAUUGAGCGGAUCGGAUUGGAUUAUGAACACCCCUAUGAGCUUCUUAUCUUCUGUCUUGAAGGAAGAAAUUGCAAAAGACAAAUGAAACAAUUUCCUUUACACAUCAAUCAGUGCUGCAGCCUUUAUAUCUUUAUUAUUCUCGGAGGGAUGAUAAUGUUGAGAGCCGAAACAAUUACUAGUACUCACUCCUCUUAUGGCCAUGUCUAACUCUCUACAAUAAUUUCGAUAUUCCUGUUCUUCAGUUCUUCCACUACCCAACAAGUACGACGGUAUGUACGGUGGCUUCAUUGCUAGAGCCUCUGUGGGCAUAUUUUAACAACGUGAAGGAAGAGCUAAUUAGAAUUCACACAAUUUUCCUGAAAGUCUACAACUUCCAGGAAAUUCACCACCUCUGUAGAAUUGUAAUAAUAAGACUUGUGGUUUCUGUAAAAGAAUUUAUAAGAGUUAAUAUAAAAGAAUUCGAAAAUGAAUUUUAUAUGGACUAGAAAUACUCUUGAUUAAUUGGUUAUUCAAAUGGUUUAGAAAUCCCCUUAAUAUUAGGAAGUCAUUUAAAAUUCUGAUUGUUGUUGUUCUAAAUAUAUUACUUUGCACUAACUUCCAAUUCCACAAUUACUCUGACAGCCCCGUUUUCACGGAUUUAUUUAUGUAUCUGAAUCUUUUUAUUCAUGAAAGAAUAAUCUCUUGCAAACUCACAACUUCAAUUAUGAAUCAACUAGCUAGCAACCAUUUCUUUAUUUUUAAUUGCUUUGGAAAUUAAGGAUUCGUCCAGCCGCCAGAUUCCGCAGUGAUUCUAUUGCAUUGGAUGUCUUCAAUUUUCUUUUGCAUUAGAUUAUUUGUUGAACUAUUUAUUCACAAGUGAAGGAGGAAUUAUAGAAUAUAUCUGAGAUAAUACAAUCAACUAAUGCAUAUACAACGUGUGUAAUUGAAUUUAGUGUAAACAUCACCUAUAUUUUUGAAAAUAAAUGCACACAAGUUAUAGUAUCAUUUGCUUGUUAUAUGACUUACAGUGUAUUCUAGAAUUUUUCCCAAGUGGAGACCAUGAGUGGUAACAUCCAUCUGACAUAAGAGUAUUACAAAGAGAUAAUCACUUGUCAAAUUUGAAUAUUUAUUGUAUUGAAACCACUAAGUAUAUAAGUUUGGACAACCCUAAAUUCAUGAUGAGAAGUUAAAGACAGUAGUACUCUAAAAGAAAAUGGAACGAAAUGAUCCAUUCAUACCUAUUAUUUGACUUUUAGAUUUGCCCUUCUAAAUUUUAACAAAAUGCACACAUGUUCUCUUGACAAAUUUUUAUUUAUUCAUGUGAACGAAGUAUAACAAAAUUAUUGACCAAUCAGAACCAAGAUGGAAAUAAUCAUCAACAAAAGUAAUCUGCAAGGACGAAUAGAAGCAGAUAGAUUAUUCCAAAAAGAAACUAAGUGCAAGUGGAAUUACUGUAGUACUGAUUAUUCGAGUGUGGCGGGAACGUCAUCGAAGAAGGGUAAACUUCUCUGUUUCAGGAUUUCACAACCCUCAGGACUUGCUGUGUUUGGAUCAAAAAGCUCACGAUCAGGCAGAGGUAAGCCAAGUUUUAUUUGACCCACUCGCCGCGAAUGCAGGACUUGCUUGGUCGUGACAGGUAGCCUAACAGAUUGAUAUUCUUCCAGAGCUGAAUGUAAAUUUUCUUCCCCCAACUUCUCAAGGCAUUUACCUAACACUGCUGCAUCAGCUAUGGCCAUGUUUGUGCUUCUUGCACAGUGAUGGGUUAUGGGAUGAGCCGCAUCUCCAAUAAAGACCACGUUGUUGUUGAAAAGUCAAAGAAGAGCUUGCCAAUUUCAAGGUUGGUAGCACGAUUCAACAAAUUGUUGGUUACACCAACAAUUGUAGAGAUUUUUCAAGCCGAAAAGAAAGAAUGGACAAAGGGGAUGGAUUUGAAAAUAAUAAUAAUUAAAAAUUAUAUUUUUAAUUAUUUUAUUCUUUGCAUAGUAAUUCAUUUCUCCUAUAAAUAUCUAAGGAUUUCAUUCAUUUGAAAUCAUCCCAAAAUUGUUAAGCUUAUAAGUUUCUAAGCUUUUGAGAGAAGUGAGAGAAGUGUGUCUGGAGAAUUUAUCUUUCCUGCAGAGUGUGAGAGUACUGGGUAUAUUUGGGUUUCUGGGAAGUGAGAUUCGUUACUCAAAUAUUGUAUUCUAUUAAUUGUUAAAUAAACAAUUAUUCUUUCUUGCCUCCGUGGAUGUAGGUUUAAUUACCGAACCACGUAAAUUCUUGUGUCCUUUAUUUUUCAGUAAUUUUUGGUGCGCUUGAUUCCGCAUUCCGCGCACAACAAGUGGUAUCAGAGCCGACGGUUCGUACUUGGGGGGAUACGGUAUUGUUCACGUAUACGGUACUAUUCCCGUAUACGGUACUGUUCAUAUACGGUACUGUUCACGAAUACGGUGGAGACGGCCAUUUGUACUUGGGAAACAAUCUAUUGUAAGUAGUGUGUAUUUUUGCAUGUCUAGGAAAGUUCUGUCAACAAAGGCAAUAAGAGUCUAAGGAUUCUGGUUUUUAAUUGGGACCGAGUCCCCGUCCAGUCUCCUGGGAACUUUCCUGGUGCAUUUAUUCACGCGAAAUUAACAUCAUAGAGACUGUUUUUCAAGUGGAAAUAUUUUGUUGAGAAAAUGGUAGAAGGUGAAACUUCCAGAAUUGGGGAGAGAUCUACCGAGACUAUUUCAGGAGACACUUCAGGUGGGAGGCGAGAUUUGUCAAAUCGCUAUUCAGCACCUGUUAUAGGAGGCCAGAAGAUCGAUGUUGAAAAGUUUGAUGGGAAAAUCAACUUCGGCAUGUGGAGGCGCGAAGUUAUGGAUGCCCUUAUUCAAAUCGAUCUCGAUGUUGUUCUGAAAAAUAAAAGACACUUGUAUGAUGAAGAAAUUUGGGAUCGUAUGAACGAGAAAGCCUGUGGUCAGAUCAGAUCUUGUUUGACCAAGGAGGUAAAAUACUUGGUGAAAGAUGAGGAGUGUGCGGUGACUUUGUGGCGUACAUUGGAGGAAAAGUACCUAGUGAAAAGUCCUGAAAAUCGCCUUCAUGCAAUGAGCCAAGUAUAUGGUUUUCGAAUGAAGCCUAUGUUGUCAAUGCACGAUCAUGUUUCAAGAUUUGAAAAGUUACUUGCUGAUUUGAAGAAUCUUGAUGAAGAUAUUAAGGAUGAAGUCAAGGCUAUGAUUCUGUUACACUCACUACCAGAGGAAUAUAGCCAUUUUGUGACUACUUUGAUAUAUGGGAAGAGUGUGAUCGUCUUUAAAGAUGUUUGCACAGCAUUGACUAGCUUAGAGAUUCGAAAUAAUGAUAAAAAUUAUGAACGAGCAUCGUCUGAAGCUUUGGUGAGCAGAGAUUGGGCGAUGGCGAAACAGAAGAAGCGUGGUGGAAAGAAUUCUCGAUCCAAAUCGAGAAGCAGAAAUAUAGCUCGAGAUGAGUGUGCCUUUUGUCAUGAAAAAGGCCAUUGGAGGAAAGAUUGUCCAAAGGCUCAAAAGAGAGAUGGGAAGAAACCAGCAGCAGCAAACAUGGCAUGGAAAGAUGAGGGCUUUGAUUAUUCACUAAGUAUUACUCCUGCAGCAUACGUGGCUAGUUCGAACGAGUGGAUACUUGAUACUGGAGCAACCUAUCAUUUGUGUCCUAUUAAGGAAUGGUUUACGGAUUUUCGUAAUAUGGAAUCCAGUGCAGUUGUGAUGGGGAAUGAUCAACCUUGUCGUACAAUGGGGAUAGGAACAAUUCGGCUCAAAAUGUUUGAUGGAAUGGUCAGAGAACUCAAAGAGGUUAGAUUUGUUCCAGCUUUAAAGAAAAAUCUAAUUUCUGUAGGUGCUUUGGAAGCUAAAGGCUAUAAGGUUACCAUUGAAGAUGGUAUAAUGAAGUUUACACAUGGGGCUAUGGUGAUUCUACAAGGGGUUCAACGUCACAAUCUGUACUAUUUGAAGGGAGGUACAACUGAUGAAGCAAAUAUUGUUGAGGCGCACAGUGACACCACCAAGCUAUGGCAUGUACGACUGGAACAUGUUGGAGAGAAGUCUUUGCAAACUCUGAUGAGGCAUGGACUCUUAAAAGGUACCAAAACCUGUAAAUUAAAUUUCUGUGAGCAUUGUGUAGUAGGCAAGAAAACACGGGUCAAGUUUGGUACAGCUAAUCACGAUACUCAUGAGAUCCUUGAAUAUGUUCAUAGUGAUGUAUGGGGACCAACCAAGACUGCAUCAAUUGGUGGAAGCCAUUAUUUUGUUACAUUUGUUGAUGAUUUCUCUAGACGUGUGUGGGCGUACACCAUGUGAGCAAAGGAUGAAGUUCUAGAGAUUUUCGUGAAAUGGAAGAAAUUGGUGGAGACUCAAACUGGCAGAAAGAUCAAAGUAUUACAAUCUGAUAAUGGGGGUGAAUAUACUUCUGAUCCAUUCUUGCAAGUAUGCCAGAACGAGGGUAUUAAAAGACAUUUCACGGUGAGACAUAUUCCGCAACAGAACGAUGUGGCUGAGCGUAUGAAUCGUACUUUACUGGAGAAGGUACGAUGUAUGUUAUCUAAUGCUGGUUUAGAUAAAAAAAUUUGGGCUGAAGUUGUGAGCUACGCAAGUCACUUGAUAAACCGGUUGCCUUCUGCUGCAAUUGGAGGUAAAACUCCUAUGGAAAUGUGGUAUGGAAAACAUGCACAAGACUAUGAUUCCCUUCAUAUAUUCGGAUGUCCAGCUUAUUAUCAUGUCAAAGAUGGUAAACUGGAUCCUCGUGCUAGAAAAUCUAUCUUUGUGGGAUUCAAAGGUGGAGUAAAGGGCUUCAAGCUUUGGGAUCUCGAAGGCAAAAAGUUUGUGUGUAGCAUAGAUGUCACAUUUGAUGAAGCUUCAAUGAUGAAGGCUUCAAGUUCUCAGCAGGUGGAGAACAAGACUAAAGAGGUAUUGCAGCGGGUGGAGUUUGAUGCAACUCCAUAUGUACCAGUUAGUUCUACAUAAAAAAAGGGUUCAACUAUGGAGGUGACACCUAGAGUUAAAGAAGAGGUUGUUUCUUCUGAUGUCCCACAAAAUGAAGAAACAAUUGAUGAUGUAGAUAAUGAUGAUUUUAUAGCAACAAGGAGGCUAAGAAGAGAGAUAAAGAAACGUGGAUGGCUUACUAAAGAUAUGGUGGUAGCUUAUGCACUUCCAGUUAUUGAUGAUGACAUCCCCAACACUUUCGGUGAAGUAUUACACAGCAGUGAAAGUGAUCAGUGGAAGUUAGCCAUGGAGGAAGAGAUGAAAUCUCUCUAUCAAAACCAGACUUGGGAACUUGUAAAGUUACCAAAGGGGAAAAGGGCUAUUGGCAAUAAAUGGGUCUACACCAAAAAGCAAGGAUCUCCGAAUCAAUCAACUCCUCGAUACAAGGCAAGGCUCGUGGCAAAAGGUUUUGCUCAAAAGGAAGGUAUUGACUAUAAUGAAGUUUUCUCUCCAGUUGUAAAACAUACUUCCAUUCGUAUCCUACUUGCCUUAGUUGCAGAAUAUGAGUUAGAGUUGGCUCAAUUGGAUGUUAAGAUGGCGUUCUUACAUGGAGAUUUGGAGGAAGAAAUCUAUAUGAUUCAACCUUGUGGUUUCAGAGUUGCUGGAAAGGAGAAUCAUGUGUGUAGGUUGAUUAAAUCUUUGUACGGACUGAAGCAAUCGCCAAGGCAGUGGUACAAAAGAUUUGAUCAAUUUAUACAAGGGCAGAAAUUCACUAGAAGUGAACACGAUCAUUGUGUUUACUUUAGAAGACUACCAGAUGAAGCUUUCAUCUAUUUGUUACUCUAUGUUGAUGAUAUGCUUAUAGCUUCGAAGAAUAGAGAUAAGAUCGAAAGAUUAAAGAAGCAGCUGGCUUCUGAGUUCAAGAUGAAAGACUUGGGUGAUGCACAUAGAAUACUUGGGAUGGAGAUUCGUAGAGACAAGAAGAAUGGGAGCGUAUGGUUGACUCAAAAGUCUUAUUUGAAGAAAGUGCUAAAAAGAUUCGGUAUGGAUAACAAAACUAAACCGGUAUGUACACCUCUAGCUCCUCAUUUCAAAUUAAGCUCUUCUUCAUGUCCUAGAUCUCAAGAGGAGAGCAAUUACAUGGCUCGUGUUCCAUAUGCUAGUGCUGUGGGUAGUCUUAUGUAUGCUAUGGUAUGCAUAAGGCCCGAUAUAUCUCAAGCAGUGAGCAUGGUUAGUAGAUACAUGCACAAUCCGGGUAAAAAUCAAUGGCUUGUGGUAAAGUGGAUUCUCCGAUAUCUGUAUGGGACAGUUGAUGUUGGGUUAUUGUUCAAGAAGGAUUGUGGUCAACAAUGUGUUGGGUAUUGUGAUUCUGAUUUCCCUGGAGACCUUGACAAGCGAAGAUCAACAACGGGCUACGUAUUCACAUUGGGUGAAGGUCCGGUUAGCUGGAGGUCGAUUCUACAAUCGACAAUUGCUCUGUCCACUACGGAAGCAUAGUAUAUGGCAGCAACUGAAGCUGUAAAAGAAGCUAUCUGGUUGAAAGGCUUGUUAGGUGACUUGGGAGUAAUCCAGGAGAACAUUGCAGUCUUCUGUGAUAAUCAAAGUGCGAUAUUCCUUGCGAAGAAUCAAACAUAUCACGCUCGGACGAAGCACAUAGAUGUGAAAUAUCAUUAUGUGAGAGAGAUUAUCGAGAGCGGUGUUGUGUGGUUGAGAAAUAUCGAUACCAAAGAUAAUCCAUCAGAUAUGUUGAUGAAUGUAGUUUCUGGAGUUAAGUUUCAACAUUGCUUGAAAUUAAUUCAAAUCCUUCGAUUGUGUUAAGAUAUGUCCUUCGGGAAUUUUGAAUUACGGUUGGCUUGAUCUCAAAUUUUGGGUACGUAGGCAGUCAUAGAGAUGCAGCCACUUUGGGGAUGAUGGCUCAUUGGUAGUCGGCUCAGAUUUGAAAAAUUUUCACCGAGGUGGAGAUUUGUUGAAGUCAACAAAUUGUUGAAAAAUAAUAAUAAUUAAAAAUUAUAUUUUUAAUUAUUUUAUUCUUAGCAUAGUAAUUCAUUUCUCCUAUAAAUAGCUAAUGAUUUCAUUCAUUUGAAAUCAUCCCAAAAUUGUUAAGCUUAUAAGUUUCUAAGCUUUUGAGAGAAGUGAGAAAAGUGUGUUUGGGGAAUUUAUCUUUCCUGCAGAGUGUGAGAGUACUGGGUAUAUUUGGGUUUCUGGGAAGUGAGAUUCGUUACUCAAAUAUUGUACUCUAUUAAUUGUUAAAUAAACAAUUAUUCUUUCUUGCCUCCGUGGACGUAGGUUUAAUUACCGAACCACGUAAUUCUUGUGUCCUUUAUUUUUCUAUAAUUAUUUGGUACGCUUGAUUCCGCAUUCCGCGCACAACACUCUUUCUGUAUUUCUGAAGACAAAUUAACUGUCAAAGUUAGAGCUAAGGAUCUUGAGACUGAUGAAAUAAUCGAGAUAGUAGGAGAUUUGCUCGUCGGAGCAGAUGGGAUCCUCUCAUCAAUUGGUCAGAGCAUUCUACCUGACUUCAAAUUAAGGUUUGUGCUUGCUUGUGAAUAUCAAUAAAAGUAAUUAAUUUUUGAGUAUUUUGUUUCAUAAAUUUCAAUGUGUUUUUAAUAGGUACACAGGAUACUGUGCGUGGAGAGGUGUUUUUAAUUUUUCAGAAAACGAUUCAGAAACCAUCUUAGGCAUUCGAAAAUCGUAUCCUGAUAUUGGGAAAUGCCUUUACACGAAUAUUGGUUCAGGAUCUCACAUCAUAGUCACUGAACUUAAGAAAGAGAAGUUCAAUUGGGUUUGGUAUGUCAACCAACCUGAGCCCGAGCUCAAGGUAACUGCUUACUUUUGUUUCAUCUUUUUACUUUGUUUACGGGGGUUUGGGUUGAGUGCUAAAAUCUAAUUUUUGCAAACGAUCAACACAGCUCAGACCAUCACUGGAUCCAAUUUUUUUUUUUAAUUUUAAUUUUCCGGUUUAUCAAUGCAGUAUGACCUGACAUUGGGAAACAAAUUAUUUUAUUCUCUUCAGGGAAAUACAACUUCUGUGAAAGUAAGCAGUGACAUGAUCGAGGAGUUGCACCAAAGAGCAGAGCAGGUUUGGUUACCUGAAUUGUCAAGAAUGAUCAAAGAAACAAAGGAUCCUUUCCUUAAUGCUAUAUAUGAUUGCGAUCCUUUGGAGAAAAUCAUCUGGGACAGAGUGGUGCUAACAGGAGAUGCAGCUCACCCGACAACUCCACACUCUGCCAGAAGCACAAACAUGGCGAUAAUAGAUGCAGCAGUGUUAGGAAAAUGCCUCGAGAAGUGGGGGCCGGAUCAUUUAUACUCUGCUCUGGAAGAAUAUCAAUCCAUUAGGAAGCCUGUAACUUCAGCACAAGUUCUACAUUCGCGACGAUUGGGUCAAAUGAAACAAGGGUUAAGUAUUCCUGGAAGGGAGCGGCCUUUUGAUCCAAAGACAGCAAGUCUAGAGGACUGGGAAUUCAUCGUUGACAUAAAUGUGCCUCUUUUCGACGUUGUUCCUCCGAUUCUUGAUUCAAUUUUUCGUUCUGCUUGAUAACUUCAAAGGACACGGCUUGGUCUGUUCAUUAUGCUAACUAUAGCUGCCUAUAAAUAAGAGGGUUGACCACAAUUGUGUGAGUAAAAGAACUGCUAUACUUAUGUUCCUUCCUGUAAUAACGAAAGCCUCUUACUUAAUUCAGUGUCUCUACUUCUUCAGCAAAAUAAAAAUAAAUUCUUGAUCGAAAAA
rnacentral:lncRNA from 1 species